AUUAAAACUCACCCAAUUCAAUCCAUCAGAUUCCGUAAGGAUAUAACUGGAUGUCAUACCGCCACUCCAUAUCCUUGAAAGUCCGUAGUGUUUGUCUCAACUCUGUCUGAGGCCAAUGUAAAUUCAAUUUGCGCAAGCUCUUUAUGCACCACAGCUCUUCUGGAAGCUUUCUCAAGUAAGCACAUGGGUUGACAAUUAAGCUUUCAAGUUUCGGCAUUGCUCCAGCCCCCAUCGUCCACUCAUCUAGCCAAUACAUUGAUUUCAGGUGCAAAACCUUAAGUUCCGGAAAGCUACUCAAGCCAACACAAGCAAGCUUUCUUCCUAAAUACGAGUUCUGCUUCAGUUUCAGCACUCGAAGGCGUGGAAGAUUUUCCAGAAUUGGCAUGGGAUCCUCCAUUAGCUCAGUAUUUGAUAAGCUCAGUUGGAUCAGACUUGGGGGAAAUUGGUAUUCAGACAGGACCAUCCGUGAGGGCUUGCUCUCAUUCACCAGCUUCAAGCAUUCAAGUUUGUGGAGUUCGCAAAGGCUUUUGGAAACCGCAGAUUGAUAGUAACUCAAAUCUCCAGAUAUCCGAAGAGUCUGAACACUAGGUAGUCUGCCCAAUAUAUCAGGAGUACAACUACUAGGGUUUAAAGCUGAUAUGAAAAUGAGAUUUUUCAGAGAGCUGGAAUAAUUUUUUGGAGGUGCGGGCAGAGUGAUAGAACCAAAGUUUAGAUGCAUGAGUUUUUGCAUCAUCCAAAUAUCCUCUGGUGACUGAUCUAUGUAGCUAGAUGGCAUUUCUAGUGUUUCAAGGUUUAAAAGGGUGCAUAGCAGCGAAGGAAGGCGUUUGAGCAAAGGGAUAUUCAAUUUCAAAUACUUCAAAAGGAAUAAAUUUUCUAAUCCGGGUGGAAAUUGGUCGAGAACUGCAGAACCGAAGUUCAGUACCCGAAGGUGUUUGAACUUUUUACAAAAAUUCUCGCAAUCUAUCACAGCGAGAUGAUCGCCUUCUAAACUUUGAUUGAUAAAAGAUUGGAGAUAGAUCUCACCAUGUUCUAAAGAAAUGAAGUCAGUCAGAUGUUCCAAAAUGAUGUAGCGUUUAACAUUUGCAAAUGGUUCCGCUUCCAUUCCAGGCAUCCAGAGAAAUUUCGUCUUGUCUGCCACCAAACCCAAUGAAGUAUAUACAAAACUUGGAACAUAGCAAGCUUUAAUUGUGCCGCCGGCUCUUCUCUUACUCACUUGAAUGAAGCCGCGAUGGAUUAGUUCUUUCAAGUAAUGUUCGGCAGUUUCUUCACCGUUGUAUGGUAUGAAACCUUCAGCUACCCACAACUGAUAUAAUUGCUCCGUAGAUAUCUCCAUACUUGGAGGGAAGACCAACAAAUAGAUGCAGCAGACCUUCAAGUGAAAAGGUAACUCCAUCACAGAAAAAAUUUGUCUCCAAACUGUCGGAAUCGCUUCGCCUUGAAGAUAAUUUUCUAAUGGCAUACUUCCAUAGUGUAGGAUGAAAAAUUGCCAGGCUUCAUGCUUUAAUCUUAUCAAUGGUCCUCCAAUGAGCACUGAAUCACGCCGAAUUUCCUCUCCAUUUUCCAUUUCCAACGACACAAGGAGGUCUGGUUCAGUGACUGUUAUCAAUACUCUGCUUCCAUUCUCAUCAUCAGGGAGAACUUCUUCCAGAUCAUCCCAUAUCUCACAGUCAUCGAAGACGUCAUCAAGCACAAUAAAAUACUUCUUGUUUGUUAGGUAAUCUCGAAGAAUAGAUUCCUUGAAUUGAUAAUCUUCACCGAUAAUUACACUAACCCGAGAUGGAGGCAUCACAGACUUGAUUAUGUCAUCCAAUAUCUUGCGAAAAUCGUAGAGUAGAGAAACCCUGACCCAAGCAAGACAGUCAAAAUAGAACUUGACAUAGUUAUUAUUGUAAGUAUCUGCAGCAAAAGCAGUCUUAUCGAAGCCACUGCUGUCGAGAAUUGCAACCACUGAAAGCCCAGAUGGUCCCUCAAUCAAUAGAUCAAACAACUCCUCUCUGCCCCUUUCAAAUUCACUGAUAUCAAGCCGAGGAUGUCCCUCAUUCAAUAGGCGAAUCAUUUCGUUACUUUUUUCACUGAUAUCAAAACCAUUGUCGCCGGGUGGAAGUUGUUGCAUCCGAUUUCUAAUAUCAAUGAUUUCACUGUGGAGUCCAUCAGGAAGAGCCAUAUUAGUGCUGCUUUCACUUUCGUUUUCACUGUUUUGCUGCUGCAUGAUGUUGAUGAAGAAUGUGUCAAUGACUUCCUCAGAGUCACGGACAAAGUUAUUGAUGUCCUUCAGAAUUUCAAAAAUAUCUGCUGUUUCAACGUCUUCUUCAUCGCUUUCUUCUAAGUCCAACAGUUGCAAAAAAGGCAAAGAUAUUUUGGAGUCAUCGAUAUCUUCUCUAAGGAGUUGAAUCAAAUGCCGAGCCAUGUCGGCUUCAUAGUUUCCCAGAAGAGUAGUAGCAAUAAUUUCGGACUCCGUAAGAAGGUUUUGAAAAAGUGGAGUUAAAUUUGUUGAAUCUGGCAGAGGCAACGUGCCUUCUUCACCUGCUAACACCCUUUUCAACCUCUCACAAAACAGUCGGAGGUGGACGUCCAGCAUAUCUCCUUCUCUCUGUAGCACCCAGAGGUAUUGUUUUUUGCUCCAAGAAAUAUUAAAAGGAUUGGUUCUAUCUAAAAGUGGUUACUGGUGUAAAAUUAAACGCCAUGGGAGAAUUUGAAAGGAAGAUGCCAAGGAACUGGCGAAGUGGCUAAAUUCCACAAAUACGGCAUUAUUGCUCAUUUUUAACUCAAAAAAUUGAUACGCCUUCAUUUAGCGAAAAGUCCAAGACGCUUGCCUUUUGAAAAGAAGAGGUAUCCAUAGAUAUCCAACAUUUAUCUUAUUUUAAUUACUACCACGACAUGAUUGAUGGUUGUUAAAUCAAUUGUUUCUUUUUUAAUUUAAAGAAAUUUUCAUUAAAAAAUAGUUUAAUAGACACAUAAUAUUACAAUAAAUAAAGUAAAGUUUAAAUUAUUUUGAAUAUUAUAAAAAAUAAUUUUAAUAUUAUUAAUAGGAAGACAUUUUGUUAAUUUUAAAAUCUUUUUAACCCAAAGGUUUAUUUAAAAUCUUUAUUAUAAAUACAAAUAUAAAAUUAAAUAUCAUAAUUUAAAAUUUUUAAUAUUAUUUUAAGUAUUAAAAAUAUUUUAAUGUUAUUAGUCUACUACAUAGAUUUUAUUAUUUAUAUUAUAUCUGUAUUGAUUAAAAUUUUUUAAAGUCAAUUUUUUAGUCAAUAUAUUCAAGAGGUAUUAUAGUUAAAGAAAAGAUUUUGGUGUUAUUUUUUGAAAAUUUUAAGGUUUAAAUGAUUUUUUUUUUAAUUUUAAGGAUGUGGGUAUUAUUUUUCCGACAAUUUAUUUUAUUUUUGGGGAAUCCGAUGAGAAAUAUCAUGAGAGAAGGUUAAUUUUACAUUCUUUACCUUUAUGAAAAAAGUGGAAACCAAGAACUAUUCAAUUUUGUAUUUUUUGUUUGUAAUUCAAAAAAUGCAUCCACCAAACAAGCUUAUCUUGAUUUUCCCACUUUAUUCAUUUUCGAUCCUUUAAUCCAUCUAGCAUCUGCAGCCCCCGCUAUUUUCACAAAGAGUAAUGAUACAGCCACAAAUUCUUGUACAAAUUUAUUUUGUAUAAACUGACGUGGCAUGAUAAGAUUGGUUGAAUUAAAUAUCACUUGGCCCACAUGAUUUGUUUUUAUUAUUUUAUAUUUUUAUUCAACCAAUGAAUUAAUGCCACGUCAGUUUGUACAAAAUAAAUUUGUACAAGAGUUUGUGGCUGUAUCAUUACUCUGUCAAGAAUCUCCAUCCCACAGCUACACUAUCAAACAAGUUGAUGGAAAUUGAACAAUUGCUUUUUGAAGUGGACCCAUUAGGUUAUGUUCAUUACUGGUCAUUGUCUAUUCUUUCUAAGAGCCACUUAUUUUGAGCAUUAGCGAUCCUAUCUGGACUACUCCAAUUAUUGAUGUAACUCCAAUGGUUGCAUCAACAGUUGAAUGUAAGAUAGUGUCAGUUCUUUUUUGAGAAUAUAGAGGGAUCUUUAUUUGUUUCUCCGUUGCAGCGUAUUAGUAUAAAUUUCUUGACCUUACAGUUCCUACAGUCUUCCUGUUAAUGAAUUCGCUGAGGCAUUAUUGAUCCAAUCUCAGUGAAGUAAUUGUGGGUGAAAAAAAAAUAAAGGAUAAGAGAACGUAGCUCAAGUGCUGAAUUGACUAUUAAAGAAGAGCGUCACCUGAUCACAAUCACAUUGAUGCACAACUCACUCGAGGCAAAUUUCAUCUAUAUAUACUGCAAAUUCAGCCAAGCCAUGCAUGCAUGAACAAAACUAAAAUGAAGUUCAUAAUCACAACUGUAAUUAGAGCUACAAAAGGUGGCAAACCAUACAUGCAUGAACAAAAUUAGACAUAAAUUGAAGCCACAACAUUAAUUGAAGCCACAAAAGCCAGCAAAUCCAAAUGAAAACUUAAAAGGAAGAUCUUAUCGAAGUUUGUCCCCAAAAGACAGCGGAAAUGAAAAAUAUUGACUAUCGAGUGGAUCAAUGCUGAAUUACAUUUGACCUGGAAAGCUUGGCUGCAGUUGCGAUGUUCCCCCUCUGAUUUUCCCUAAAACAAAUUCAGUUGUAAACAAUAACUGGAGUAGCAACAAUUUAUUCAUUAUAGAAAAUACCUAAAUUUUCAACUAUCAAAUCCUCUUGUCUAAACUAAAAAACUCAUAUCUCUAAAAUCUAUAUACAAAAUGUCAUAAAUGAGGGUGAUCUCUCAAUUCGGUAAACAAAUUCAUGCAUAAUAUUACCAAUAAUGAUAAAUUACAUAAUAAUUAUUAUAAAGAAUCAUAAAUUGGAAACAUUAAUCAUUUUAAAAUCUAUUACAUAAUAAAAAUAAAUCUUAUAAUAAGUUACGUUAGAACAUAACAAAUAUUUAAAAUGAUAUAUAUAAUUAUUUAAGAAGUCUUUUAACAAUAAUUUUUUUUUUCUUUUUCAGUUGAUCAUGUCAUAGCGUUAUCUAAAAUGCUAGCGAUAUCAUUAUUCCCCACUUUUCUCAAAAAAAAGAAAAAGAUAAAGAAAAAAGAAAUAUGAUUAACGUUUGGAGAAAAGUCAUGCCUUUUAAAAAGAAUAUGUAUACAAUACCAAUUCAUACUUUAUCUUACCAUAAAAAAAUUGUUUAAAAUAGAUUUAAUGCACAAAUAUGAUGACUUUUGGCAGAAAUGAGUUUCGGAAAUAUUGGGAUGAAAACCAUAUUGGUUCAGACUUAAAAUUACUUAAUAAAAUUACUUAACUACCAUUUAAUAAAUAAAAAUCAUAUUAGUUGAAAGUUAAAUUAAGAUUUAAAUGUUGAGAUAUCUAACGUUACUCAAUCAGAAUAAACAAUAAUCAAUUCAAAUUAUGACUAUCAUGUAGAAGCAAAUGUUUAUGCUUGGGUCUUUUACUUCUUGAAUUUGAUUGGAAAAAUUUCUGAGACAGGGAAGUGAGUGUUUUGGAUAAUAUUUUUCGGGAUUGAAACCACAAGUUGGUCGAGGAAAAUAAUUUUGGACAAAUUUUUAUUAUAUUGUAGAACCUUUUUGGUUCCUUUUGUGUCGGCAGCCCCUCACUAUUCUCUUAACCCUGAGUUUUGAGAUAGAAAUUUCCCGAACUCCAACCCCACAUCCACAGACAAGUUGAUUGAAACAAUUGCUCUUGUAAUUAAGAGGAUGAGUUAGGGUUCAGUUCUUAUCAUUGUCUGUUAUUUCUUUGAAUCAUUAUCUUAGUUAAUUACAUCAAUUGUUUCUUUUCUUAAUUUAAAGAAUUUUUCUUUUAAAAAAAUAUUUUAAUAUCAAAAUGCGUUAAAUGGUAUUACUGCCGCAAUCCCAGUAACAGGAUUAAUUAAAAAAAUAUUCUUAGGAAGAUAUUUUGUUUAUUGUAAAAUCUUUUUAACCCAAAGGUUUAUUUAAAAUCGUUAUAAUAAAUAAAAAUAUAAAAAAAAAUAAAUAUCAUAAUUUAAAAUUUUAAUAUUAUUUUAAAUAUUAAAAAUACUUUAAUGCUAUUAGUCUACUACACAGGUUAUAUUACUUAUAUUAUAUUUGUAUAAAUUAAAACUUUUAAAGUUAAAUUUUUAAUUACUAUAUUGAAAAGGUAUUAUGGUUAAAAAAAGUUUUGGCAUUUGUUUUUUGAAAAUUUGAGGGUCUGCAUGACAAUUUGUCCAAAUCCUAGAGGUAUAGGUGUCUUUUUUUUUCGAUAAUUCAUUUUACUUUUGAGGGAAUCCGAUGAGAAAUAAGAUAAGAGAAACGUCAAUUUAACGUUCUCUAGGGAAAACCAAGAACUAUUCAAUUUUGUAUUUUUUGUUUGUAAAACAAAAAACAGUUUGCCAAAAAAGGUACCAAACAUAUCCUUAAUGUCUCACAUGAUUUCUUAUUAAGUCCAUACUCGAUAUAUUUAUACAUUUUAGGUAUUUUAGUUAUAAAAGAAGUUGGUCCUCCCUCUGUUUAUAAAAGGUAACUUUAUUUCGAGAUUACCACUAAAGUCUUACAAAGAAUUAGUGUAAUGUUAAGAGAGACUAACACAGUUUUCCAUUACCAUUUUGAAAAUAGAAAGAUAUGGAUGUGUGCAUUUAAUGGUGCGUUUACUUGCCGGAUUGGGGAAUCAGAAUCUGGAAUCAGAAUGAUUGAUGGUGUUUACUUCACAAAUAUGGAGCAGGAAUCGGAAUUGGAAUGGUGGGGCCCACCACUAUUUGGGAAUGGGAGAUUGAUUCCCAUGGGGGAAGGUGGGAAUGAGUCUCUCAUUCCCUGGAUUGACCAUUUUGCCCUCCCUCAAAAUUAAAAAUGCCUACUUUGUCCUCUUUUAUAAUUAAUUAAUAUAAUAUUAUAAUUAAUUAAUUAAUAUAUAAAUAUUUUAUUAACUAUAAUUAUUAAAAAUUAUAGUUCUUGAAUAAAUAAUCACAAUAAUUAAUUUAUUAUUAUUAUUGUUAAUGAAUUAAUAUAAUUAUUACUAUUAAUUAAUAUAUUAAUAUAUUAUUAACAAUAAUAUAUUAAUAAUUAUUGUUCGUGAAUAAAUAAUCACAAUAAUUAAUAUAUUAUUAUUGAAAUUAAUUAAUUAAUAUACUAUUAUAAUAAUUAUUAUAAUUAAUUCAUAUAUUAUUAUUAAUUAAUUAAUAAAAUUAAAAUUAUUAAUUAAAUAAAUAAUAUAAUUAUUACUACUAAUUAAUAUAUUAAUAUAUUAUUAAAAAUAAUUAUUAAUAAUUAUAAUUUUUGAAUAAAUAAUCACAAUAAUUAAUAUAUUAUUUUAAUUAAGUAAUUAAUAUUAAUAUUAUUAGUUAAUAUAUUUUUAUAAUAAUUUUUGAUAUAGUUAUUAUAAUUAAUUAAAAUUUUUUACAAUUAAUUAAUAUAUUAGUUAAUAAUAAUUAUGACAAUAAUUCAUUAAGUACUUUUUAGUAAUUUGUUACAAUCUAAUUCAUUCCGAUUCCGAUUUCAAGACAAAGUAAACACAUUAAUGGCAAUCUAGCUCAUUCCGAUUUCGAUUCUUACAGUUCAAGUAAACAACUUAUUUUGAUUCCCAUUACCUAUUCCCAUUCCAGCCCAUUCUCAUUUCUGCCCAUUUCAAUUCCAGCUCAUUCCGAUUCCAGUUUAGUAAACGCAGCAUAAGAGUUAUCAUGAAAAUCAUACAAUUUAAUUUCCUGAAAUAUAUAUUUUAUUCACAUGUGCCAAAAGAAUAAAUAGAUAGAAAGUAAAUUUACAAUCCUCACUCCCUCAUAAUUGUUAAAGUGAAUAUGCAUUACAACUGUGAACUGUCACUACUUUAGCCCUUUAUUUGUUUUUUCAAUUAUAGUGUGAUGGAGACAGUGAACAUUAAGGAUAAAGUGCUCUGCUGAAAGCCAAACUUCCUUUGGCUAAUUAAUUUAGAAGUAAAGCAGAGAAUAAAGUCCUUGAUGCCUUCUGAAAUUAGAAAUACAUUUUAUAUGCUUUAAUUAUGAUUAUUUGGUAGACUAUUGACCAAAAGACAUGUUAAAGUAUAAAACAGAGCGAUUAAAGAAAAAAAAAAGGAGCGUUUGUGACGUAGAAUAACAAUUUGUAAGCAAAGUCCUAAUUUGAGUUGUCAAAAAGCAAACAUAACAGAGAAGGUAAGAGAGAUGCAAAAACAGAAAACUAUUAGCUUAUCUUGAUUUUCCCACUAUAUUCAUUUUCGAUGCUUUUCAAACGAGAUUCUUUUAAUCCUUCUGGCGUCUGCAGCCCCUGCUCUUCUUAUAAAUCUCCUUCCCACAUCUGCACUACGAACAAGUUGACUAAAAUUAAAUAAUGUUGGAGACGAGGGGUGAGCCGUCAACUUAUUAAAAAAAACUCAUGUAUAAUAUUAUCAAUAAUAUAAAAUAUAUAAUAAUUAUUAUAAAGAAUCAUAAAUUAGAAAAAUUAAUUAUUUUACAAUUUAUUUCUUAAGUAAGAUAAAUCUCGUAAUAAGUUAAGUUUAAUGUAAAAAAUAUUUUCAAUUUAUAAUCAUUUAAGAAGUCAUUUAACAAUAAAAUCUUUUUUUUGAUCAGGUGGCCAUGCCAUAGAGUAUCAUCUAUAUUCGUGGUGAUAUUAUUAUUACUCAAUAUCCUCAAAAGACACUAUUUAACAUUUAGAGAAAAUUUCUGCCUUUUAAAAAGAACAUGUAUGCAAUAGCUAGCCACACUUUAUUUUACCACGACAAAAUUGAUAGUGAUUAAAUCAAUUUUCUCAAUUAAAGAAAUUUUUUUUAAAUUGAUUUAAUGCACAAAUAUGAUGAGUUUUUGCAAAAAUUAGUUUUGGAAAAUAUAGUGAGAGAGAAUGGUGACGAUUAUUUUUCAGAUGUGCAAAUAGCCUAAACAUAAUCUCUAAUACCAAUAUCCUUGUGCAUCUUAACACCUUUCAUGAUAUUCUUUCAUUCAUAACCAUUUGUUCAAUAUUUGAAUUUGAUUAUUAAAUUAUGUUCAAUAAUGUUAGAGACCCCAACAAUUGGGUACCAACUUAAAUCCCAAUGCUAUGUGUCAAUGUAACAUAGCAAAAUCCCAUUAACAAAUGUUGUGUCAUUUAUCAUUAUUGAAUGAAUAAUUCGUUAAUUUAUUGAUAAAUGAAAAUUUAUUAAUUUAAAGAGAGAUUUUUUUUUUUGGUUUUAAGAAGAGUUUUGUUGGUACAUGUACAUACUUAUAAAGGAAAAACUUGUAAUUAUACUAUAUCUUUCUUUCUUUGUUCAGUUUGGUGGGAUAUUGUGAUAAAUCAUUGGAUUAAAAUGCAUUUCUAAAUUGAAACUUGUUAAAAUCUAAUUUAUUUGGGAAACGCAUAUUAUUUGUCAGUCGUACUUCUCAACUUAGCAAGUUAUUUCUAACUUGUCGGUCUCUAUUGGUUCUCUUAAAACUAAUAGUCUCGUAUCUCCCGCAUUUGAUAUCUUGCCAUUACUGUUGGCAUUAACAUGUUACCUGAGAUUGGGAUUCAUUAAAAUCCUCAAUGUAAUCGGUGGAACGAAUGGAUUUCUUCUGUUCACCAAUCCACCAAAAUUUCUGUAAUUAAAUUCAAAAGUCAAGAUCUAUGCUUAUAAUCUAUUCAACAGCUAAUAUUCUAUUUUAUAUUUACUUAAAUAUGAAGAGCUAUGCUUGUAGUUAACUUCAAAUGUGAUCGAAGCAGCCUUACAUCUAUAUAUUACUUAUGCCCAACCUUUUUUUUUGACUUCAUAUACAUUCUUUUCAUGUUAUUUACUCUUUUUUCCCCCUCUCUGACAAUUGAGGUAGGGGGUCAAACUUGAAAGUAUCUUAAAAUCAGACAAUAAUUUUUUUUUUUUAAAGAUAGCUACUAAUAUGCUCUAUUAGACAAUGAUAAGUAAUAACCUAGUUGUUUGCAUUAGAAAUGAUAUUUUUUGUGGUGCUGAUAAAGAGGUUGAUUAUGAUUCAACAAUUUAAAAUAUGAAAACAUGUGGAAGACGGCCGCAAUUAAAUUGAUUGUAUGAAAAUAUUUCAAUGAAAUUUUAAAAGUUUAGUACUUGUUAUCUUAUCGAGAGUUUUUUUAAAUUAUAUUACUACUUGAACUUGACUGCUUUUGUAUUGAAUUCCUACCGUUGCCAUUGCUUCUACUCAAAAGCCAUUUAAGUUUGUGUAAGCUACCUAUAGUUUGAACAACAAUUUACUCAUGAAUUGUUGUUCAUAUUAGCAAUUUGAUUGAAAGUGCGGCUGCACUAAUUUUCUAGAUGAAUUUUUUCCUACAUGCUUGUUCUCGUAUGACCCAAAAUCCUACUACAUCAGUUGUAUUAGAAAUUAAUCAACUGGGUUACAAUUAUGCAUCCCCACCAAUAUUUAAGCAAUUUAAUUACAGAAAUAUUUCUUGAGGAAAGAAACUCAUAUCGCCACUAGGCUUGUAAUGAGGCUCAUUUUUAUGAAUCUGGAUGGCAUUAGAUAUCUCUACGAAUAUUGGUGGGAGUAGAUCGCAGAUCUCUGGGCUAUACUACAAAGUUUAUGUACGUUGACUCUCAAUAAAUACAAACGAUUCUCUGAUAUGAUUCAAACAUCAGUGCAUGCAUCAUUUUAAUGAGAAAGAAUAUUCUAAGAACGAAAUUGAAGGUGCAAUCAGCAGCUAAAAUGAAGCCAGAAAUGUACAUGCAUGAGGAAUUUUUCCUAGAAGAUUGAUAUUUCUUUGACUAGCAAACCAUACAAGUCCAAAGCUAGCCAAACCAUACCUGCAAGGUGGGGGUUUAAAUGGAAUACUUCUAAGCAUAAAACAUUGAUUAAAACAGAAUACACACAUACAUACCAGCAAAUUCAAAAUAGCAAGAGGAGUGCAAAAGUUCAAGUUUGUAGACAACAUUGCAACCAUGGCAAGUUUAUAGCAAAUCCUCGAAAUCUGCUAAAUAAAACAAUGCCCUGUCUCAUGAAUCAAUGCUUAAUUAAAAUUGAAACUGAAAGUCUGGCUGACGUUGUUUCCCUCUCCAAUUUUGCCUACAUAAGUGAAAAUAAGAAUAAUAAAUGAAAAUCUGCUUUUACAGUUCUUAUUAGAUAGAUAUAAAUGGAUCUUUCUUUGUUUCUCUGCUGUAUUUUGUGGCUAUCCCACUCUGUUUUGCCAGUCAAGCUGAGUCUAUGUUGAGACAUAAUUUUGACAUCAGAAGCAAUCUCAAUUAGUUUGGCACUUUUAUGACCUCCUUAAAGGUUUUACAAUAAACAUAAAUCUACUGAGAAAGUGGGAAAAAAAAGAAAAUGCAUAUAAAAAUAUGAGUUAUCAGAUAAGAUUAAAACUCACCCAAUUCAAUCCAUCAGAUUCCGUAAGGAUAUAACUGGAUGUCAUACCGCCACUCCAUAUCCUUGAAAGUCCGUAGUGUUUGUCUCAACUCUGUCUGAGGCCAAUGUAAAUUCAAUUUGCGCAAGCUCUUUAUGCACCACAGCUCUUCUGGAAGCUUUCUCAAGUAAGCACAUGGGUUGACGAUUAAGCUUUCAAGUUUCGGCAUUGCUCCAGCCCCCAUCGUCCACUCAUCUAGCCAAUACAUUGAUUUCAGGUGCAAAACCUUAAGUUCGGGAAAGCUACUCAAGCCAACACAAGCAAGCUUUCUUCCUAAAUACGAGUUCUGCUUCAGUUUCAGCACUCGAAGGCGUGGAAGAUUUUCCAGAAUUGGCAUGGGAUCCUCCAUUAGCUCAGUAUUUGAUAAGCUCAGUUGGAUCAGACUUGGGGGAAAUUGGUAUUCAGACAGGACCAUCCGUGAGGGCUUGCUCUCAUUCACCAGCUUCAAGCAUUCAAGUUUGUGGACUUCGCAAAGGCUUUUGGAAACCCCAGAUUGAUAGUAACUCAAAUCUCCAGAUAUCCGAAGAGUCUGAACACUAGGUAGUCUGCCCAAUAUUUCAGGAGUACAACUACUAGGGUUUAAAGCUGAUAUAAAAAUGAGUUUUUUCAGAGAGCUAGAAUAAUUUUUUGGAGGUGCGGGUAGAGUGAUAGAACCAAAGUUUAGAUGUAUGAGUUUUUGCAUCAUCCAAAUAUCCUCUGGUGACUGAUCUAUGUAGCUAGAUGGCAUUUCUAGUGUUUCAAGGUUUAAAAGGGUGCAUAGCAGUGGAGGAAGGCAUUUGAGCGAAGGGAUAUUCAUUUUCAAAUACUUCAAAAGAUAUAAAUUUUCUAAUCCAGGUGGAAAUUGGUCGAGAACUGCAGAACCGAAGUUCAGUACCCGAAGGUGUUUGAACUUUUUACAAAAAUUCUCGCAAUCUAUCACAGCGAGAUGAUCGCCUUCUGAACUUUGAUUGAUAAAAGAUUGGAGAUAGAUCUCACCAUGUUCUAAAGAAAUGAACUCAGUCAGAUGCUCCAAAAUGAUGUACCGUUUAACAUUUGCAAAUGGUUCCGCUUCCCUGUCAGGCAUCCAGAGAAAUUUCGUCUUGUCUGCCAUCAAACCCAAUGAAGUAUAUACAAAACUUGGAACAUAGCAAGCUGUAAUUGUGCCGCCGGCUCUUCUCUUACUCACAUGAAUGAAGCCGCGAUGGAUUAGCUCUUUUAAGUAAUGUUCGGCAGUUUCCUCACCGUUGUAUGGAAUAAAGCCUUCAGCUAUCCACAACUGACAUAAUUGCCUGGUAGAUAUCUCAAUGCCUGGACGGAAGACACACAAAUAAAGGCAGCAGACUUUCAAGUGAAAAGGUAACUCCAACACAGAACAAAUUCGACUCAAGAGUGUCAAAACCACUUUUUCAUCCAUAUAAUUUACUAAUGGGGCACUUCCAUAGUGUAGGAUGAAAAAUUUCCAGGCUUCAUGCUUUAAUCUGAUCAAUGGUCCUCCAACAGGCACUGAAUAAAGCGGAAUGAUCCCUCCAUGCUCCAAUUCAAAAAAGGUAAGGAGGAAUGGAUCAGUGACCAAUAUCAAUACUCUGCUUCCAUUCUGCUUAUCAGGAAGAACUUCUUCAAGAUCAUCCCAUAUGUCACUGUCAUUGAAGACAUCAUCAAGCACAAUAAAGUACUUCUUGUUUGUCAGGUAAUCUCGAAGAAUAGAUUUCUUCAAGUGAUAAUCUUCACCGAUAAUUACCCUAGCCCGAGAUGGAGGCAUUAAAGAAUUGAUUAUGUCAUCCAAUAUCUUGCCAAAAUAGUAGCCUAUAGAAACCCUUACCCAAGCAAGACAGUCAAAAUAGAACUUGACAUGAUUAUUAUUGUAAAUAUCUGCAGCAAAAACAGUCUUAUGGAAGCCAUUGCUGUCGAGAAUUGCAAUCACUGAAAGCCCAGAUGGUCCCUCAAUCAAUAGAUCAAACAACUCCUCUCUGCCCCUUUCAAAUUCACUGACAUCAAGCCAGUGUUGUCCCUUACUCAAUAGGCGAAUGAUUUUGUUACUUUGUUCAGUGAUAUCAAAACCAUUGUCGCUGGGUGGAAGUUGUUGCAUUCGAUCUCUAAUAUCAAUGAUUUUACUGUGGAGUCCAACAAGAAGAGCCAUAUUAGUACUGCUUUCACUUUCGUUUUCACUGUUUUGCUGCUGCAUGAUGUUGAUGAAGAAUGUGUCAAUCGCUUCAUCAGAUUCAUGGACAAAGUGAUUGAUGUCGUCCAGAAUUUCCAAAAUGUCCCGUCUUUUUACGUCUUCAUCAGUGUCUUCUAAGUCUAACAGUUGCAGACAAAGCCAAGCCAUUUCAGCUCCAUUGAGUUGUUCUCUAAUGAUGCGUCGAAUCACACGACGAGUCAUGUCACCUUCAUAGUUCCCGAGCAGAGUAGUAAUAAUUUCAGUCUCCGUAAAAAGGUUUUGAAAAAGCGGGGCUAAGUUUGUUGAAUCAGGCAACGUUAACGUGCCUUCUUCACCUGCUACCACCCUUUUCAACCUCUCACAAAAUAGUCGGAGGUGGACGUCCAGCAUAUCUCCUUCUCUCUGUGGCACCCAGAGGUAUUGUUAUUUGCUCCAAGAAAUGUUAAAAGGAUUGGUCCUAUCUCAAAGAGGUUAGUGGUGUAAAGUUAAACACAAUGGAAGAAUUUGAAAGGAAUAUACCAAGAAACUGUGUAAGUGGCUAAAUUCCACAAAUAUGGCAUUGUUGCUCAUUUUUAACUCAAAAAAAUACACGUUAAUUUAGCGAAAAGUCCAAGACACGUGCUUUUUGAAAAGAACAGGUAUCCCAAUAGGUAUCCAACCUUUAUCUUAAUCAAUUACUACCAUGACAUACUUGAUGGUGCUUAAAUCAAUUUUUCUUUUCUUAAUGUAAAGAUUUUAUUUUUUUAAAACAGAUUUUAAUAUCAAGAAAAAAUAUCACUCGUAUAUCCUUAAAUGACACUUGUAUCAAACGUACUACAACACUUUUAACAUGUAUCACUUGUAUACCUUAAGUUGACAAAUUGUGUCUACCAUCCACCAAACCGUUAGUUGCCGUUUGCAAGCGCUGACAUCAUAAAGGUAAUCUAGUCUUUUCAAAUGGAAGAAACUUUGAUUAAAAAAACGACAUGUCAUCCCAUUUACCUCGUAAAAAAUGACAUAUCAUAUGAUAUAUAUUGACAAAAAAUGACAUGUCAUCCCAUUUAUCGGAAGAUGAUGUCAUCUAUGUGAAACAACGUUGUUUCAACGGGACUAAAAAAAAAAUGAUACUCCACAACCGAAUCGACUCCUCCAAACUUUAACUUGAAUAUUUGAAGAUCUACUCAUCCAAGCUCCAACUGGAAUUUUUUAUGGUAUAAUAUGUUGUUAAUAAUUUUUUAUGGUAUAAUAUGGAUUAUUUUUUAUGGAUAAUUGUUAAUAAUACGUACCAUUAAUAAUUCAUUUUUUAAUAAAAAAUGUAUUGUUAAUAAAAAAUAAAAAAUAUAUUGAAAAUUUACGUUAAUUUUUUGGGCAAAUAUGUAUUUUUACCUUAUUUUGAGUUUCAAGGGCGAAAUAGUCAAUUUGUCAUAAUUCUGUUAACUUUCUAAUGGUAGCUAACAGUUUGGUGGACAGCAGACACAUUUUGUCAACUUAGGGUGUACGAGUAAUACAUGUUAAAAGUGCUGCAAUACGUUUGAUACAAGUGUCAUUUAAAGGUAUAUGAGUGAUACAUGUUAAAAGAGUUGUAGUACAUUUGAUACAAGUGUCAUUUAAGGGGAUAUAAGUGAUAUUUUCCCUAAUAUCAAAUUGCCUUCGAUGUUUUUACAGCUACAAGCUCAGUAACAGGAUUAAUUAAAAAGUUUAGAAUUGUUGGGCGUGCAAAGAGUAGUUUUAAACACCAGAAAGCAAAGGUUGUUAUUGACAUAAUUUUAUUUUUGUUUUCGAGGGAAUUUGUUUUUUUUGUUGACAAGAAAAUAGUAUUAUAUUUUACAAUCUAUUAUACAUAUUUUAUCAUAUUAAAGUAAUUUUAAUAUUAAAUGGAAACAUUAAAUUUAAAUUAAUUAAUUAAAAAUUGAAUUAUUUUGAAUAUUAUGUAAAAAAUUAUUUUAAUAUCAUUAAUAAGGAGAUAUUUUGUUAAUUGUAAAAUAUUUUUAACCCAAAUAUAUAUUAAAUUUUUUAUAAUAAAUACAAAUACAAAUAUAAAAAUAAAAUAAAUAUCAUAGUUUAAAAUUUUAAUGUUAUUUUAAAUAUUAAAAAUAAUUUAAUGCUAUUAGUCUAUUACACAGGUUAUAUUAUAUUUGCAUUAAUUAAAAGUUUUAAAGUCAAUUUUCCAGUUUCUAUAUUCAAAGGUAUAAUGGUUAAAAGAAAGUUCUUGGUGUUUCUUUUUAAAAAUUUGAGGGUCUUAAUGAUAAUUUUUCUAAAUCGUAAGGGUAUAGGUGUCUUUUUUUCCGAUAAUUUAUUUCACGGGUAUCCAAUAAGAAACAUGGUAAGAGAACGUCAAUUACUUAUCAUUUUCUAUUUUUUCUAUGAGUCAUUUAUUUUGAGCAUUAGUGAUCUUAUCUGGACUACUCCAACUAUUGAUGCAACUCCAGUGGCUGCAUCCACAGUUAAAUAUAUGAUAGUGUUAGCUCUUAUUUGAGAAUUUAGAGGGAUCUUUCUUUGUUUCUCUGUUGCAAUGUGCUAGUAUAAAUUUCUUUACCUUAAAAUUUAUAUAGUCUUGCAGUUAAAGAAUUCACUGAGGCAUUGUUGAUUCAAUUUCAGUGAAGCAAUUGUGGGUGAAAGAUAAAUGAAGGAAAAGAGAACAGAGCUGAAGUGCUAAAUUGGCUAUUGAAGAAGGAUGUCACAUGAUCACAAUCACAUUGAUGCACAACUCUCUGGAGGCAAAGUUUGUCUAUAUGUACUCUGAAUUCAGCCAAGCCAUACAUGCAUGAACAAAAAUUAAACCGUAGUUCUAAUCACAACAGUAAUUGAAGCUACAAAAGCCAGCAAAUCUGAACGAAGACUUAAAAGAAAGAUCUUAUUCAAGUUUGUCCCCAAAAGACAGCUGAAAUGAAAAAUAUUGACUGUUGAAUGGGCCAAUGCUGAAUUACAUUUCAAAUGGAAAGCUUGGCAGCAGUUACAAUGUUUCCCCCUCUGAUUUUCCUCCAAAACAAAUUCAGUUGUAAACAAUAACCGAAGUAGUAAUAAUUUAUUCAUCAAAGAAAAUGCCCCCAAGUUUUCAAUUAAAAAAUCCUCUUGUCCAAACUAAAAGAACUCAUAUCUCUAAAAUUUAUUUGCAAAAUGUUGGAAAUGAGGAGUGAUCCGUUAACUCUGUAAAUAAACUCAUGCAUAAUGUUAACAAUAAUGAUAAAUUACAUAAUAAUUAUUAUAGAGAAUCAUAAAUUGGAAACGCUAAUCAUUCUACUAUUAUAUAAGUAAGAUAAAUAUCAUAAUAAGUUAAGUUAUAAUGUAAUAAAUAUUUGCAAUAUAUAAUUAUUUAAGAAGUCAUUUAACAAUAAAAUAUUUUUUUAUCCAGUUGAUCAUAUAGCGUUAUCUAAACUCUUGACAAUAUUAUUAUUACUCACUUUUCUCAAAAAAACAUGAUUAACUUUUAGAGAAAGUCAUGUCUUUGAGAAAGAAUAUGUAUACAAGCUAUCCAUACUUUAUCUUACUGUGACAAAAUUGAUGGUGAUUAAUUGUAUUUUUUAAAAUAGAUUUAACGCACAAAUAAGAUGACUUUUGGCAAAAAUUAUUUUCGGAAGAUAUAGUGAUAGAAAAUAGUGAUGAUAAUUAUUGUUUAAAUGUGUAAAUAGCCUAAGCAUAGCCCGUAAUACCAAUAUUCAUUUGCACCUUGAAAGAAACUUAGUUCUAUAUUGUUUGGCAAGCAAGAAAGUAAAGGAAAAUGAAAGAGAACUCUAAAGAACCUUUUUUAUUAUACUCAGAUAUCUCAACUUAAUGAAUACUGAUUGACAUUUAUACUAAGCUACAAUCUUCACUACACACACGAGUUUGUAACAUCACAUAACCAUUUGCUGCAUAACUAACUUUACACAUCAGCUCAACCAGCUAACUAACUUUGACAGGUCAGCUCAGUGAGUUGAUCUGCUACAACCAGCUACACAGCAACAGCAUGCUCUGCUCCAGCUAUACAGCAACAUCAUGCUCUGUUCCAGCUUUAUCCGCUCUGCUUUGCUCUGCUCCAGCUUUGACAGGUCAGCUCAGUGAGUUGAUCUGCUACAACCAGCUACACAGCAACAACAUGCUCUGCUCCAGCUAUACAGCAACAUCAUGCUCUGCUCCAGCUUUAUCCAAUUCACUAACAUCCCCCCUCAAGCUAAAAUGUUUAGGAUGAACAUUCAGCUUGCUUCUGAAGUAACUGAAUUGUUUGAAAGUAAGAGCCUUAGUUAACACAUCUGCUGUUUGAUCUGGACUAGGCACAUAGCAUACUGCAACCUCUUUAGCAGUGACCUUAUCUCGGAUAAAAUGUAUAUCCAAUUCAACAUGCUUAGUCUUAGCAUGAUAAACUGGAUUAUAAGCUAAAGCAAUUGCUCCUUGAUUAUCACACCACAUUAUAGGAGUGGAGCUUAAUGUGAUACUAAGUUCACCAAGUAAGGAUUUAAUCCAGGUAACCUCUGAAGCAGCAUGGGCAAGAGAUCUAUACUCAGCUUCUGUGCUGGAUCUGGAAACAACAACUUGUUUCUUUGACGACCAGGAAACAAGAUUAGGACCUAGAUAAACAGCAAAGCCAGCCACUGACUUCCUAUCAUCAUGAUCACAAGCCCAAUCAGAAUCUGAAAAACAAUGUAAUUGCAGAGCUCCUUGAUUGUAGAAAUGCAGCCCCAGAUGGAUAGUGCCUUUUAAGUACCUCAAUAACCUUUUACAUGCUUCCCAAUGUUGAGUUCUAGGACUGGAAAGGAACUGACUUAACUUGUUUACAGAGAAGGCAAUGUCAGGUCUGGUAAGAGUAACAUAUUGAAGAGCUCCUAUAACACUUCGAUAUUGAGAAACAUUUUCAAGUGGCUCUCCUGAGUCUUUGGUGAGAUAAAAGCCUGUAGACAUUGGAGUUGGCACAGGACUGCAGUCUGUCAUGCCAUGUUUAUCCAGAAUAUUAGCAAUGUACUUUGCUUGUGUCAAGGAAACCCCUUGUGAAGAUUUGCUGACUUCAAUCCCCAGAAAAUAGUGAAGUUCCCCCAGGUCUUUUAAAGCAAAAGCUUGAUGCAUAUGCUGGAUAACUUGUUGAAUUAUGGAUGGACUGGAACCAGUGAUGAUAAUAUCAUCAACAUAGACCAAAACAACAGUUAGAUGACCACUGUUCCAGGCAUAAAAGAGAGAGUUAUCAGACCUGGAAUGCUGAAAAUGCCACUUGGAGAUCAUUGCAUCCUUAAACCUAUCAAACCAGGCUCUAGGAGCUUGUUUUAAGCCAUACAAAGCCUUAUUUAGCUUGCAGAUAUGAUUAGGUUUAGUUGAAUCAACAAAACCUUGAGGUUGAGCCAUGUACACAUCUUCAAUUAAAAUGCCAUUUAGAAAGGCAUUGUUAACAUCCACCUGCCUUACAACCCAGUGACUCAAUACUGCUAAGCUAAGAAUAACUCUAACAGUGGAGGACUUAACCACUGGACUGAAGGUUUCUGUGUAGUCAAUCCCAUGUGUCUGAUGAAACCCUUUAGCCACAAGCCUGGCUUUAUACCUUGAAACUGAACCAUCUGAGUUAUACUUUACUCGAAAUACCCACUUGUUGCCAACUAUCUUCACUGGAGUAGCAGGUAAGACUAAAUCCCAGGUGUGAUUGGUUUUAAGAGCUAGAUACUCUUCUUGCAUAGCUUUAUACCACAUAGGAUCAGAAAGUGCUUUGGAAACAGAGGUUGGUUCUGACUUCUGAGCUAGUAAAGCUGACAAGUAGAUCUUGGGCUUGAAGAUACCUGCUUUUGACCUGGUUAUCAUUGGAUGACCAGAUGAUGCAGGUUGUGACAAGGUAUGUGGAGGUGAAUGAUGGGAUGGUGAAGAAGGAGAAGAAGAAGUGGAAUUGAAAUUAUCAGAAAAGUAAACUGGAGUAGAAUUUGGGAAGGAAAUAGAAGCAUGUGACUGAGAAUCAUUAAGAAGAUAUUCUGAUGAUGCUGCUAAAGGUGCUUGUAACUGAGUAACAAAAGGAGUAGAAGAAUUAAAAGAAGACUCAGAAUGAGUUGAUGACUGACAGUUUGAAGAAACUGAAGAAAAAUCUGUUCCUGACUCAUAAGGAAAAGAACGUUCAUAAAAGGUUACAUGAUUUGAAAUAUAGACCCUCCCAGAAGAGUGAAGACACUGAUAUCCCUUGUGUUGUGAACUGUAGCCAAUGAAUAUACAUCUAGCUGUUCUGAAAUCAAACUUAUGUCUAUUGUAUGGUCUGAGUGUUGGAUAACAAGCACAGCCGAAAAUUUUAAGUGUUGAAUAAUCUGGUUGGGAAUGAAACAACUUUUGAAAAGGAGAAAUGCUGUUUAGAACUGGAGUUGGAAGUCUGUUUAUCAAGUAGACAGCUGUAUGGAAUGCAUUCCACCAAAAUUUGAGUGGUAAAUGUGCUUGAGCUAAUAAAGUCAGUCCUACAUCAACUAUGUGUCUAUGUUUCCUCUCAAUUUUUCCAUUUUGAUGAUGAAUGUGGGGGCAAGGAUGUCGAAAAUGGAUGCCAGAAGUGGUGAGUAAUGAUGAAAAUGUUCUGAACUCCCCUCCCCAGUCAGUUUGGACAGUUUUGAUGGAAAGUUGAAGAUGCUUCUCAAUGAAUAUUUUGAAAUUGGUAAAAACUUCAAGAGCAUCAGAUUUUGCUGAUAAGGGAAAAAUCCAGGUAAACCUACUGUAAUCAUCUAGGAUUGACAAGUAGUAAUUAUAUCCUUGGGUAGAACAAACAUGAGAAGGGCCCCAAAGAUCUGCAUAUAUCAGUUGUAAAGGUGCUGAAGUUUUUGUUUCUACUGAAUCAAAAUGCAGCAUGUGAUUUUUACCAUAUUGGCAUGCUGAACAAAAUUUCAAACUGUCAACUUUAUUAAAAGCAGUAGAGUUGUUACAAGCUUUGAGAAUGGUUUUGAGAGUAUAAGAUGCUGGGUGUCAUAAUCUUCUAUGAAGAAGAUUUACAUCAAUAGAACCCUUUACAACAACUGACAGACAUGACUUUUUAUUCAACUCAUAAGAGCUAACAGUAGAGAGCUGAGCAGAAUUAAAAACAGGAGAACAAGCAAAAAGAGACUGAAUUUUGUUUUGACCAACUGAACUGAGAAAGACUGAAUGAACAGCAGCAUGAGAAGAGACUUUAUACAAGCUGUUGUGCAAAUUUUAAUGUACUCGCAAGCGCACGAAUCUAUUAUAGUAUAGAUCAAUGGUGACGAGUGUCGAUCCCACGAGGAGGUAGAUUUUAAUUGUGUAUAGAAUUAAUUUUGCAAAUGGUUGAUUGGAUUUGUAGUGGAAAUGAUUAGGAAUAUGCUAAAACUUAAAUUAAAAUGGCGAGAAUAAAUUCUAAAAUUGGAAUUGCAAUGGCGAGAAUAAAUUGAAGAGAAAUGUAUUGAAAUGACGUACUUGGGUAUCUGGAUCCGUAUCAACAUGCAUCAUGGGCUAAAUAAUCCGUAUUAAUGCCAAUUAAAUCAUGAGGGGGGAAUCCACACCUCAUGAACCACGCUCUAAUCAAUAUGGUGCUAAGGGCUUAUCGUGCCAAAUAAUAAUAACCUUAUACUAGAGAGCCGGUGUAACCAAGGCGGUAUCUAGACAAGAUCAGUAUUAUUUGUCGACGAUAAGUCAAAUCAUCCACAAAAACUAGAGGGGAAAAGAAAAUAAAUUUACCAAAUAAAGCCCAUGACACAUGUUGAGACUUCACCUUCAACCCAAGCUUGAAAGGAAAUUAGCUACUCAUAAUUGAACUAGGGGCAAAAUGGGAAUUUAUUAAAAUACAAAGAAAAUACAAGAUGGAGAGGGAAUUACAGAAAAUGGAUCCCAAAAAUGGAUUCAGAGAUAUCAAAUUAGGGGGGGAGGCCCAUUUUUUAUAGAUACAUGGAGUAAAUCAUGGCCAUCGGAUUAAAAACAGUUUGGACGCUCAGGAUUGCGCCACGUCAUCAGUCAACAGUCAACGGUUUGACCACGCGGAUGAACAGUAACAUGGUUUGGUUGAAAAUAAUCCUGUGUGAUGCAUACACCGUACGCGAGAUUUUUCGUCCACUGAUAUGCUGCCACGUCACCAUCAACAGUACAUAAGAAUUUUAGUCCAACAGGAUCGUGACACCUCAUCAGUCAAUGCCACAUCAUCGGUCAAUGCCACGUCAUCGAUCCGUCUAUGUGAACAGUGUCGUGAACAGUAACGUAGACAGUACCGUAUACGUGAAUAGUACCGUACAUGUGAAUAGUGCCAUUUUUCCUUUUAUGCUCCUCCUAAGGUUUUCGACCGUCCUGAGUUCAAAAGUGAUGUCCGUUUUGCCGUCUGAUCUCUCCUUUAUUGUGAAAUGACUAUAAUGCCCCUAAAAUACAUAAAAUACUUAAUUAAAAUAACACACACGUAAUUACAUCACAAGAGGGUUAAAUACAUAAAAGUAAGGGUUGUUAGUAAGACUUGAAACGUAAAAUGACGGUUUUCUCCUUUAUAAAUAUGCAUUUUCUAACACUCAACACAAGCCACCUUUAGCAACACCUUCAAGUAAAAUUUUCCCUGUGUUCCUGGCCUUUAUAAAACACAAAUUACCAAGAAAUUCAACAGUAACUGGAUUGUCAGCCAACAAUUUUGAGAUGCUAAGCAAAUUCUUAGUAAUAAAAGGGACAUGAAGAACAUGGUUAAGAAAUAAGGAUUGAGAAGCUGAAGUAUUUAGCACAACUGACCCUACAUGUGUAAUAGCUAAUGCAUUUCCAUCUCCAACAAAUAACCUUUCAGUACCAGUGUAAACUUUUGAAUCCAGAAGCUUACCUAGAUCAUUGGUAAUAUGAUUUGUUGCUCCACUAUCAAUAUACCAGGAAGGAUCUUCAAUGUGUUCAGGUGGGAGUGAAGAAGACAUAGCAGAGGAGGAGGAAGCACUUGACUGUUCCAGAUUAUUAUGUCCUAGACAGAAACAAAAUUAGAUGAUCCAGGGUUGAAUGAGAAAUAAGCAGAUGGGUUGCUUUCUGGAUAUACUAUAUUUCCUUGAUAGCCAAAACCCCUGGGGGCAUUACCAAAACCAACAUUUUGUCCAAAACCAGCAUUUGAACCAAAACCUCCAAAACCUCUUCCACUAUUACCAUUAAAGGCUCUUCCUCGACCAUAUUGCCCUUGAUUAAAACCUCUGCCACCAUUCAUAUUACCUCUACCAUGGUUCCUCUGUGGAACAAAAGAUGAGUUGUACCUAUUUCUGCAUUUAUAGGCUGCAUGACCAGGUAUGAAGCAAAUUUGGCAAACAACUUCAGAGAAAUUACUAUUAUUAUUAAACUGACCAUAUCCAUAUCCAGAAUUAUUACCACCUCCAGAGUUAUUUCCAUACUGUUUCUGAAAAUUUCCAUUAUUCUUUCCAGCAUAUGAGUUCUUCUGAACAAUAUUUGCUGUCAUGUUAUGCAUCACAUCACCAGCAAUUUUUCCUUUCUUUUGCUCAACUCUAUUUUCAUGAUUCAACAGCAAAGAAUAUAGUUCAUCUAAUGUUAUCUUUUCACCUCGAGCUAACACAGCAGUGACUAAAGAUUCAUAAUCUGAUGAAUCAAGACCAGUUAAUACAUGCAUCACAAGAUCAUUUAACUCAACAGGUUUUCCAGCUAGAGCUAAAGUAUCAGCUAUACGUUUUACUUUUACAAAGUAAUCAGACAUAUGCAUUGCACCUUUCUUAAUAGUUUGAAUCUGCAUUCUAAGUGUUUGAAUUCUAGCUUGUGAUUGAGAGAUAAACAUACUAGCAAGAGUCUCCCAAAGCUGUUUUGAGGUUGUUGAGUCAAUCACAGUAGCAAGCAGAUUUUGUUGUAUCAAUGACAUCAUCCAACUCAGCAGAAGUUGAUCAGCCUUCAUCCAAGCUACGAACUCUGGAUUAACAGAUCUGGAUCCAGAUUCAGUAACAGAUCUGGAUCCAGAUUCAAUUAAGAUUUCAGCUCCAUUGUUGUUGCCAGAAGAAAGAAACUGCUCAGGACAUUCUCGAUCACCAUUGAUAAAACCUUCCAAACCAUUUCCUUUGAUCGAAGCUAGAAUUUGUGUGCGCCACAAAAUAUAGUUGUUUUGAUCUAGCUUUACAGGCGUAACAAAACUAAAAGAGUUGUUGUUUUGAACUGUAUUUGCCAUUUAUGGCUCUGAUACCAUGAAAGAAACUUAGUUCUAUAUUGUUUGGCAAGCAAGAAAGUAAAGGAAAAUGAAAGAGAACUCUAAAGAACCUUUUUUAUUAUACUCAGAUAUCUCAACUUAAUGAAUAUUGAUUGACAUUUAUACUAAGCUACAAUCUUCACUACACACACGAGUUUGUUACAUCACAUAACCAUUUGCUGCAUAACUAACUUUACACAUCAGCUCAACCAGCUAACUAACUUUGAUAGGUCAGCUCAGUGAGUUGAUCUGCUACAACCAGCUACACAGCAACAGCAUGCUCUGCUCCAGCUAUACAGCAACAUCAUGCUCUGCUCCAGCUUUAUCCGCUCUGCUCUGCUCUGCUCCAGCUUUGACAGGUCAGCUCAGUGAGUUGAUCUGCUACAACCAGCUACACAGCAACAGCAUGCUCUGCUCCAGCUAUACAGCAACAUCAUGCUCUGCUCCGGCUUUAUCCAAUUCACUAACACACCUUCAUUUGUGUUAUCACAUUUCAUGAUAUUCUUUCAUUUAUGACCAUUGUUCAAGAUUUUAAUUUGAUUAUAAACUAAGUUGCAAGGGAGCUUACUUCAGUUUCUAAGCUUUUCAAUCGUGAUUCCUGCAUGCCAAACGUAACUGACCUUAUAAUUGGUCUGUAUAAGAAAUCAAGCCCUUUCAGGAUCGUUUUCUUUUUCUCCCUAUUGUAGUAGUCAACUAAAUAAAGAAUGAACAACUAAACUUGGUCUAUUUCGAGGAAGACUAAGGCUUCCAAUACUAGAUGAACUUUGAAGAAAAUUAAUCCGUUGUUUUUAUUCAUCUUUGGACUAUGAAUUUAUACAAAGACUUUAACAGAAAAUAACAAAGACACAGCUAAAUGAUAGCAAUAAGUGCUGACUUGGUGGACCACUUCUGCAAGUAAAUAAAAACUAAAUAUUUAUUUUGACUAUAACAACAACUACGCUGAUGAAUAGGAUUUCACAGCAGCCACGUGACAACUAAUUUCUCCUUAAUAUUAUUAUUAGUAGAAGUAGAUUUUAAAACUAGUCUUGAUAUAUUUCAAAGUUGUAUUAUCAAUGUAUAUGUGUCUAGAUUGUAACUAUAUUUUAAAAAAUAUAAAAUUUUUAAUUAUUGCACAGUAUAUGUAGCAAAAUAUCUAUAGAAUGAUAUUAUUAGGACUAAGAUUUUUUUUUAUUUUAGAUAAGUUAUUUAUUUAUUAUCGAAUGAAUAAUUUAUUAAUUUACUGAUAAAUGAAUAUUUAUUAAUUUAAAGAGAGAUUUUUUUGGUUUUAACAAGAGUUUGUUUGGUAAAUGUACACACUUAUAAAGAAACAUAAAAAGUGGUUCCUCAAGUCAAUAGUAUUUGCUUCAAUCGCAAUGGUUCAUAAUAAUAUAGCAUAGUUAGGAAAUUUGUAAUUAUAUUAUGGCUCUGUUUGGUAGUAAAACUCAUUUAAGUAGAGUUGUUGUUAAUAGAGCUUUUAUAAAUAAAGCUUUUACUAAAAAAAAUUUAGUUGUUUGCUUGUCAAUGUCCAAAUUGAUAAACUUUUGUUCUUUUGUUAAGAUAUGUUUGUUUUACUUAAUAAUAGCAUCGGCAAGAGUUUUCGAUUGUUGCAACUUGCAAUGCACGCGGUGAGAGAAAAUGAGAAUCUUGUUUAAUUGUCAAUAUAUAAUGACAAACCUAAUCCUUUCAUUAGGAGUAAUUUAAUAAUCGUUUGUUAUAACUGAAUAUGUAUAAAGAAAGGAAAAUUCUAUUCAUAAAUUUCGACUUAUUUUUUGUUUAAAGUAAUUAAUCAUUCAACCAUCUUCAUUUGCCUCUGGCCAAUGCCCUUGUAGAUUAGUUUACUUAAUUAUGAUUAUAUACAUUUUCAUAUAGCAAGUGGCAUUGUAGAUCUAAACUAAGUUGCUAUUUCAAUACCAGCAAAUUCAAAAUAGAAAAGGAGUGCAACUAUUCAACUUUGUAGACAAUAUUGCAACCAUGGCAUAUUUAUAGCAAAUCAUUGAAAUCUGCUAAAGAAAACAAUGCCCUGUCUCAUGAAUCGAUGCUCAAUUAAAAUUUAAAUUGAAAGUCCGGCUGGUGUUGUUUUCCUCUCCAGCGAAAUAAGAAUCAUAAGUGAAAAUAGGCUUUGACAGGUCUUAUUUCUUUGUUUCUCUGCUGCAAUGUGUGGUUAUCCCACUCUGUUUUGCCACUCAAGCUGAGUCUACGUUGAGACAUUAUUUCAGUAUUGAGGUAACAAUAAUUUCGGACUCCGUAAGAAGGUUUUGAAAAAGUGGAGUCACAUUUGUUGAAUCAGGCAACGUCAACGUGCCUUCUUCACCUGCUAACACCCUUUUCAACCUCUCACAAAAUAGUCGGAGGUGGACGUCCAGCAUAUCUCAUUCACAUUUGUUGAAUUUGCAUGGAAUUUGCAAGGAGUAUGCCAAAGAAUUUGCAAGGAAUAUGCCAAGAAUUUGCAAGGAAUAUGCCAAGAAACUGGCCAACCCGCUUAGCUUAAUUCCACAAAUAUGACGUUAUUGCUCAUUUUUCUCUCAAGCACAUAAUACACGUUCUUCGAGACGCGUGCCUUCUGAAAAGGACAGGUAUCCAACCUCAUCUUAAUUACUACCAUGACAUAAUUGAUGGUUGCUUAAAUCAAUUUUUUCUUCUUUUUUUUUUUUAAUUUAAAGAAUUUUCCCUUAAAAAAAAUUUAAUAUCAAAAUGCCUUCAAUGUUAUUACUGCCGAAAGCCAAACUUCCUUUGGGUAAUUAAUUUAGAAGUGAAGCAGAGAAUAAAGUCCUAGAUGCCUUUUGAAAUUAGAAAUACAUUUUAUAUGCUUUAAUUAAUCAAUUCACUGAGGCAUUAUUGAUCCAAUCCCAGUGAAGUAAUUGUGGGUGAAAAAAAAAUAAAGUGCUGAAUUGGCUACUAAGAAAGAGUGUCACUUGAUCACAAUCACAUUGAUCCACAACUCACUCGAGGCAAAUUUCAUCUAUGUGUACUGCAAAUUUAGCCAAACCAUACAUGCAUGAACAAAAUUAGGCCGUAGUCCUCAUCACAACAUUAAUUGAAGCCACAAAAGCCAGCAAAUCCAAACAAAAACUUAAAAGAAAAUGCUUGGUAUAGAGAAGCACGAGAGAAAGACGAGAAAAACAAUGAAGAAAGUGGUAGAGAGAGAGUGAGUGGGUAGAGAGAGAGCAAAAUUCUCUCGUCUUUCUCUCGUGCUUCUCUCUCUCUAUCACUACUCAAACUUAAAAGGAAGAUCUUAUUCAAGUUUGUCCCCAAAAGACAGCUGAAAUGAAAAAUAUUGACUAUUGAGUGGGUCGAUGCUGAAUUACAUUUGACAUGGAAAGCUUGGCUGCAGUUGCGAUGUUCCCCCUUCUGAUUUUCCUCCAAAACAAAUUCAUUUGUAAACAAUAACGGAAGUAGCAACAAUUUAUUCAUUAUAGAAAAUACCUAAAUUUUCAACUAUCAAAUCCUCUUGUCUAAACUAAAAAACUCAUAUCUCUAAAAUCUAUAUACAAAAUGUCAAAAACGGGUGAUCUCUCAAUUCGAUAAAUAAAUUCAUGCAUAAUGUUACUAGUAAUGAUAAAUUACAUAAUAAUUAUUAUAAAGAAUCAUAAAUUGGAAACAUUAAUCAUUUUACAAUAUAUUACAUAAUAAAGAUAAAUUUUAUAACAAGUUAAGUUAGAACAUAUCAAAUAUUUUCAAUAUAUAUAAUUAUUUAAGAAGUCUUUUAACAAUAAUUUUUUUCUUUUUCAGUUAAUCAUGUCAUAUACCGUUAUCUAAAAUGCUGGCGAUAUUAUUAUUCCUCACUUUUCUCAAACAAAAAAGAAAAGAAAAAAGAAACAUGAUUAACGUUUAGAGAAAAGUCACGCCUUUUAAAAACAAUAUGUAUACAAUAGCAAUCCAUACUUUAUAAAAUUGAUGGUGAUUACAAAGAAAAAUUGUUUAAAAUAGAUUUAAUGCACAAAUAUGAUGACUUUUGGCAAAAAUUAGUUUCGGAAAUGUUGGGAUGAAAACCAUAUUAAUUGAGAAUUAAAAUUACUUAAUAAAAUUACUUAACUACCAUCUAAUAGAUGAAAACCAUAUCAAUUGGGACUUAAAUUAAGAUUUAAAUGUUGAAAUAUCUAGCAUUACUCACAAUAACCAAUUCAAAUUAUGACUAUCAUGUAGAAGCAAAUGUUUAUGCUUGGGUUUUUUACUUCUUGAAUUUGAUUGGAAAAAUUUCUGAGAUAGAGAAGUGUUUUGGAUAAUUUUUUCGGGAUUGAAACCACAAAUUGGUAGAGGAAAUUAAUUUUGGACAAAUUUUUCUUAUAUUGUAGGACCUUCUAGUUGGAGUAGUGAUGGCUUUGUCUUCAUUUUUGGUUCCUUUUGUGUCAGCAACCCCUUACUAUUCUCUUGACCCUGAGUUUGAGAUAGAAAUUUAUCAACCUCCAACCCCACAUCCACAAACAAGUUGAUUGAAACAAUUACUCUUUUAAUUAAGAGGACCCAAAUGAUUUAGGUUUCAGUUCUUAUCAUUUGUCUAUUAUUUCUUUGAAACAUUUAUUUUGAGCGUUACUGAUCUUAAUUAUCUGUAUUUCUCCAAUUAUUGAAGAAUUUCAAGUGGCCACUUUUUCUCCUUUUUAUAUAUGUUUAUUUUUUGGAGUGAUCAAACGGGUGAAAAAUCAAGUAUUCGCUGGUCUGUAGUUUAGCCAACGAUGGCUGAUCCACACAGUUGAUUAUAUGAUACUAUUAGCUCUCAAAAUCUUUCUUAUUUGAGAACAUAAAUUGCCCAUUGAAGUUAAACUAUGUUACCCAGCUCCAUGCACAUACAUUAAAUGUUUAGGUAGUUUUACAAAAUGAUAACAGCAUGCCAAAACUUGAUGUUGUCAUAUUCGACAUUUCAAAUUGAAAAAUAUGCAAGCAAUCUUCAGUGACCAUUACGUUUUUAUUGAAUAAUUUAAAUGGCCAGUAAAUCAACAGUCCGUGAGUUUUAAAUCUGUUAUGACUUAAUGUAUCUUUCUGUAUUCGUACACAGGUUAUAUUAUCAUAGUUUAAAAUUUUAAUAUUAUUUUAAAUGUUAUAAAUACUUUAAUGCUAUUAGUCUACUACACAGGUUAUAUUAUUUAUAUUAUAUUUGUAUUAAUUAAAACUUUUAAUGUCAACUUUCUAAUUACUAUAUUGAAAAGGUAUUAUGGUUAAGAAAAAGUUUUGGCAUUUCUUCUAAAAAAUUUGAGGGUAUGCAUGACAACACUACAAGAAAAAUGACCUACCAUGACAGUCCUCUGUGUGACAGUUUUUGGUCUGCAGAGCUACUACGAUAGAUGGAUGAUAAAUUUUUUUUCUAUCAUUCAUUUAUGACAUACUUGUGAUAGAAAUUUCAUCUAUCAAGCACUUAUGAUAGACUGAUGAUAAAUUAUUUGGUUAUCAAGAAGUAAUGACAAGUUUGUGAUAUAAUUUAGAUCAUCAAGUAGCUUUUUUAUUUUGACUUUAUUUCACAAGGUUGACUGAAAAUUUUAAAAUGAAUGAAAAAAAUAAAUAAAGAAUAAACGGUACCGUUUGGAUUAAAAGUUUCUCUUUGGACAAGAAACGACACCGUUUAGAUUGAAGCUAAAUAAAAACAAAACCCUCUUCAGUUUUCACUAAUCGAAUUUUUUUUCCCUAAGUGUCGGCACUCUCACUCACUCUCGUCUCUCGCUCAGUCAUUCUCGUCAAUCUCACACUCACAAAGCCCUUUUCACCCGAAAUCCUUGCAUGGGCACUGAACCACUGCCGCCAUUCUCUUGUAUUUGACUAUCAAUUUUGGCUCUCACCGAGAACUAUAUGGAAUACCCACCAAACGCAUGUGCUUCUACUAUUGAAUUUCAAUACCCUAACUGAGAGCCCACGCUCACCCACUAUUGUAACCGUUCGAUCAAUACAGGUAAAUAAUAUUUCUAGUGUUGUGUUCCAUUUCAAUUUUAAUGUUCUUGUCAAACUCGAACCCUAUAUAUGUAAACUUAAAAACCCUAGAUGUGUUCUUGUCAAAUUCGAACCCUACACACCUAAAUCUUGUAAAACCUAGAUGUUUUCUUGUCAAAUUUGAACCCUGUACGUGUAAAACUUGAAAAUCCUAGGUGUGCUCUUGUUAAAUUUGGAUCUAUUUGAUUGGUCUUCUAUGUUUCUUUAUUUAUGGAAUUUUAAACAUUUAUUUGAUUUUUUUGGAAUUUAAUUAUUAUAGUUUUAUUGUUAAAUUAAUUUGAUUUAGGCUGUAAAGAUCCUUGCCAAUUUAAUCGUGAUGGGUGUUGGGAUAUUGUCUAGGCUGCUUUAUCUUUGGGGUUUUCUAAUAACUAAUUUUUUUUUUUCACUUUUUUGUGGAUGCAUGGAACUAUAUAUAUAGAUAAUUCUCAAAUUCGUUCACUGUGAUGCAAAGUCUUUUUUUUUUCAAUUUCAUUGGUUAAAUUCACUAAUUCGUUGAAAUUAGUGGUGAUUGUGGGCCGAGUCGCAUGUGCAGGAAGUGGUGUCAGGUCUGGGCGCACAUUGAGUCAUGCACUUGGUGGGCAAUUGGUAUUGUUUCUAUUGUGUGUGUUGGAAAUAAUGUCAAUAUCAUCCAACCAAUGUGUGUUUCUAGUGGCUGUUUUUGCACCGAGCAGAUAAUUUAUUAUUACAUCAGAGUUCCCCAUCCCUUGUUUCUCUUUUGGGUAAUGCAGGUAUUGACUAGUUCAUUUCCAUUUUCAUUUGUCUUGAGGGAAUGUUAUCAAUUUUUCGAUCUUACAAGAUAUUGAUUGAUACAUAUGUGUACAAUACAUUAAAAAUCAUUAAACAUUUUGCUCUUAGUUACAAUUUUGAAUGAAUGUCACAUGGAAAGAUCCUCUAAGAAUAUCAAUAGUAUUGUGGUUUCUACUCAAUUUCCACUCUCCGCACUCAUAUGAGCAUGGUUUGAAUCUCAAGCCUUUUGUACCAUUCAAAAAUUUAUACCAAUUAACAACAUAGCUUGCUAGCACCACAAAUUGUUUCAACUCCAAGGCAGAGAAUUCCUAGAAGAUAUAUACAUAUUGAUAUAUACUUGCAUGUAGCCGUAUGCUCACUACCUUCGAAUUGGGGAUAUAGUCACUAUUUUUGUAUUCCCUCCAAGUGUUUGAUAAAAAGCAUGAAUGAAUCUUGGCUCUUUAAUUGUUGCAGGCCAUUUCUACCUAUGAGGAGCAAAGGAAUAUGAAGCUUAUUAUAUUCAUUCACAAAGCAAAGCUGAUAUAAUUCAUGGCAAAGCUUGAUGAGGUGUUGUAUUUAAUCUUGCUCAUGAGAUCAAUUACCUAUCUUGUUGGACUUUAUUCUUGUAAUUAAGGUCCAUCCAAAGUUGAUGGCUUGUUUGUCAGAAAGAUAAUCUGAAGGCUAUGAUUGAUUACUUGCGGGCCGAUGGAAAUGUCUCCAUGAUUGGUUUAUGAGGUUGUUAAAUUACUAAAUAGGUAUAUUUACUUUUCAUGAGCUUUAUCUUCGUUUUUCCAUUAUGGAAAUGUCUCUAUGAUUGUAACUUUUAACACGUGGAACUCUUGAACCCUAUGUUUAGUUAUAUACUUAUAUUGGGACUUGUAUAAAUUAAUAUGAUGGUUUUAUUAUUAUUAUUAUUAGUAGUAGUAGUAGUAGUAGUAGCAGCUACAAAAGAUCAAAAGAACUUAAAGGUGUGGCUUGUGGCUUUCUUGCUGUUUGGGCUUUAACUGCUGCCUCACUUGUCAUUGUUGCUAAUCUGGUGUGCCACGUCCAUUUCAGUGUAAUUACAUAAGUUAGUUUGCUUGAUUAAUUAAUUAAUUAGUUAGCGGAUUGAAUAGCCAGAGUACUACAUUUUGCAUAGGUCUGAUGCUGGAUGAAUUUUCAUGUCUUGGCUUUGGGGCUGCUGGAUUUUGCUGCUGGAAGACUAGAUUUUGCAAUUUUGUUGCUGGAAGACUACAUUUUGUGUAGGUUUGUUGCUGGAUGUUGCUGAAUGCGGAGUACUUUGCUUGGUUUUGGAUUGGCCUUUGUUGUCUAUUGGCUCGACUUUGGAAUAUGGAUUAACUAAUGUAAUGUACUUUGGAUAUUUUUAUGGUUAAUAAAGUUCACUAAUUUAGUUCAUUAGUUUUGGAUUUAAUUGCAUUUAGUAAUUUAUUUUCUUUCAUAUAAUUUUAAUAAUUUUAAUAAUUUUAAUUUUUAAAUUUCAUAAUUUUUAUUUUAAAUUAAUAAAUAAAAUAAAUAAUCAAUUUUUUCAAAAAAAAUGUGAUAGAAAAUACUAGUCAUACACACAAUUGAUAUCCCAAAAAAAAAUACAAUCCAAAAAUUUCUAAAAAAAUGAAAAUAUAAAAUAAAAAAAUAAUUUCCCUCUUCUAAGUAGUAUGACAUAAUUAUGAUAGGUAAAAUCUAUCACAACUUGUGACGCGAUUUUAUCUGUCAUCUUUUCUUGACGCUGACUAUAAUGACAGUAAGGAUAACCGUCAUCUACCCCCUAAGAUGACAGUUUUUACCUAUCAUAAUAGGUCAUUUUUCUUGUAGUGCAAUUUUUCCAAUUCUAAGGGUAUAGGUUUGAAAAUUUAACGUUAUUUAACUUAAUGAAACAAAAGGGGAAACCAAGAACUAUUCAAUUUUGUAUUUUUUGUUUGUAAUUCAAAAAAUACAUCCACCAAACAAGUUUUACACAUUAAUGCUGUCAUAAAACGAAAAACAGUUUGCCAAAAAAUGGUACCGUCACAUGAUUUCUUAGUAAGUCCAUAUUAGAUAUAUUUAUACAUUUUAGGUAUUUUAGUUAUAAAAGAAGUUGGUCCUCCCCCUAUUUAUAAAAGAUAACUUUGUUUCGAUAUUACCACUAAACUCUUACAUAGAAUUAGUGUAAUGUUAAGAGAGAGUAAUGCGGUUUUCCAUUACCAUCUUUGAAAAUAGAAAGAUAUGGAUGCGUGCAUUUAAGAGUCAUCGUGAAAAUCAUACAAUUCAAUUUCCUGACAUAUAUAUUUAUGCACGUAUGCCAAAAGAAUAAAUAGACAGAAAGUAAAUUUAUAGUCCUCACUUCCUCACAAUUGUUAACGUGGAGAUGCAUUACAACUGUGAACUGUCACUACUUUAGCCUUUUUUUUUUUUAAUUAUAGUGUGAUGGAGACAUUAAGGAUGAGCAUAAUAGUUAAAGAUGACUCAUUUCUCAUUUUCUUUUUAAAGUGCUCUGCUGAAAGCCAAACUUCCUUUGGCUAAUUAAUUUAGAAGUAAAGCAGAGAAUAAAGUCCUAGAUGCCUUCUGAAAUUAGAAAUACAUUUUAUAUGCUUUAAUUAUGAUUAUUUGGUAGACUAAAGACCUAAAAGAUAUGUCAAAAGUAUAAAACAGAGCGAUUAAAGAAAAAAGAAAAAAAAAACAGAGUAUUUGUGACGUAGAAUAACAAUUGGUAAAUAAAUCCUAAAUAUUUGAGUUGUUAAAAGCAAAUAUAACAGAGACGGUAAGAGAGAUGCUGAAACAGAAAACUAUUAGCUUAUCUUGAUUUUCCCACUAUAUUCAUUUUCGAUGCUUUUCAAACGAGAUUCUUUUAAUUCUUCUGGUGUCUCUUAUAGAUCUCCAUCCCACAUCUGCACUACGAACAAGUUGAUUAAAAUUAAAUACUGUUGGAGAUGUGGGGUGAGCGGUCAACUUGGUAAAAAAACUAUGUAUAAUAUUGUUAAUAAUAUAAAAUAUAAAAUAAUAAUUACAAAGAAUCAUAAAUUAGAAAAAUUAUUUAUUUUACAAUCUAUUUCUUAAGUAAGAUAAAUCUCGUAAUAAGUUAAGUUAUAAUGUAAAAAAUAUUUUCAAUUUAUAAUCAUUUAAGGAGUCAUUUAACAAUAAAAUCUUUCUUUUUUUGAUCAAUUGGUCAUGCUACAGAGCAUCAUCUAUUCGUGGUGAUAUUAUUAUUACUCCGUAUUCUCAAAAAACACGAUUUAACAUUUAGAGAAAGUUCCUACCUUUUAAAAAGAACAUGUAUGCAACAACUACCCAUACUUUAUCUUACCACGACAAAACUAAUAGUGACUAAAUCAAUUUUCUCGAAUAAAGAAAAAUUUCUUAAAAUUAAUUUAAUAUACAAAUAUGAUGACUUUUUGCAAAAAUUAGUUUUGGAAAAUUAGUGACAGAAAAUAGUAACGAUUAUUGUUUAGAUGUGUAAAUAGCCUAAACAUGAUCCCUAAUACCAAUAUCCACGUGCAUCUUAACACCUUUCGUCAUAUUCUUUCAUUCAUGGUCACUGGUUCAAGAUUUGAAUUUGAUCAUUAAAUCAUGUUCAAUAAUAUUAGAGAUCCCAACAAUUGAGUACCAACUUAAAUCCCAAUGCUAUGUGUCAUUAACAAAUGUUGUGUCAUUUAUAAUUAUUGAAUGAAUAAUUCGUUAAUUUAUUGAUAAAUGAAAAUUUAUUAAUUUAAAGAGAGAUAUUUUUUUUUUGGGUUUUAAGAAGAGUUUUGUUGGUACAUGUACAUACUUAUAAAGAAAUAAACUUGUAAUUAUACUAUAUCUUUCUUUCUUUAUUCAGUUUGGUGGGAUAUUGUGAUAAAUCAUUGGAUUAAAAUGCAUUUCUAAAUUAAAACUUGUUAAAAUCUAAUUUAUUUGGGAAGCGCAUAUUAUUUGUCAGUCGUACUUCUCAAGUCUCAACUUAGCAAGUUAUUUCUAACUUGUCAGUCUCUAUUUGUUCUCUAAAAGCUAAUAGUCUCGAAUCUCCCGCAUUUGAUAUCUUGCCAUUAUUGUUGGCAUUAACAUGUUACCUGAGAUUGGGAUUCAUUAAAAUCCUCAAUGUAAUCGGUGGAACGAAUGGAUUUCUUCUGUUCACCAAUCCACCAAAAUUUCUGUAAUUAAAUUCAAGAGUCAAGAUCUAUGCUUAUAAUCUAUUCUAACAGCUAAUAUUCUAUUUUAUAUUUACUUAAAUAUGAAGAGCUAUGCUUGUCAUUAACUUCAAAUGUGAUCGAAGCAGCCAUACAUCUGUAUAUUACUUAUUCCCAACCUUUUUUUUUGACUUCAUAUACUUUCUUUUCAUGUUAUUUACUCUUUUUUUCCCCUCUCUGACAAUUGAGGUAGGGGGUCAAACUUGAAAGUAUCUUAAAAUCAGACAAUUUUUUUUUUUUUUAAGAUAGCUGCUAAUAUGCUCUAUUAGACAAUGAUAAGUAAUAACCUAGUUGUUUGCAUUAGAAAUGAUAUUUUUUGUGGUGCUGAUAAAGAGGUUGAUUAUGAUUCAACAAUUUAAAAUAUGAAAACAUGUGGAAGACGGCCGCAAUUAAAUUGAUUGUAUGAAAAUAUUUCAAUGAAAUUUUAAAAAUUUAGUACUUGUUAUCUUAUCGAGAGUUUUUUUAAAUUAUAUUACUACUUGAACUUGGGUACUUGUUAUCUUAUCGAGAGUUUUUUUAAAUUAUAUUACUACUUGAACUUGGCUGCUUUUGUAUUGAAUUCCUAGCGUUGCCAUUGCUUCUACUCAAAAGCCAUUUAAGUUUGUGUAAGCUACCUAUAGUUUGAACAACAAUUUACUCAUGAAUUGUUGUUCAUAAUAGCAAUUUGAUUGAAAGUGCGGCUGCACUAAUUUUCUAGAUGAAUUUUUUCCUACAUGCUUGUUCUCGUAUGACCCAAAAUCCUGCUACAUCAGUUGUAUUAGAAAUUAAUACUGGGUUACAAUUAUGCAUCCCCACCAAUAUUUAAGCAAUUUAAUUACAGGAACAUUUCUUGAGGAAAGAAACUCAUAUCGCCCCUAGGCUUUUAAUGAGGCUCAUUUUUAUGAAUCUGGAUGGCAUUAGAUAUCUCUCCGAAUAUUGGUGGGAGUAUAUCGCAGAUCUCUGGGCUAUACUACAAAGUGUAUGUACGUUGACUCUCAAUAAAUACAAACGAUUCUCUGAUAUGAUUCAAAACAUCAGUGCACGCAUCAUUUUAACGAGAGAGAAUAUUCUAAGAACGAAAUUGAAGGUGCAAUCAACAACUAAAAUGAAGCCAGAAAUGUACACGCAUGAGGAAGUUUUCCUAGAAGAUUGAUAUUUCUUUAACUAGCAAACAAUACAAGUCCAAAGCUAACCAAACCAUACCUGCAAGUCCGGGGCUUAAAUGGAGUACUUGUAAGCAUAAAACAUUAAUCAAAACACAGUAUAGACACACACACACACCCCUACAUACAUACCAGCAAAUUCGAAAUAGAAAAAGGAGUGCAACUAUUCAAGUUUGUUGACAAUAUUGCAACCAUGGCAUAUUAAAGCAAAUCCUUAAAAUCAGCUAAACGAAACAAUUCCCUGUCUCAUGAAUCGAUGCUCAAUUAAAAUUGAAAUUGAAAGUCCGGCUGGUGUUGUUUCCCUCUCCAGGUUUGCCUACAUAAGUAAAGGGAAAUGAGAAUCAUAAAUGAAAAUCUGCUUCGAUCACUGUUCACAAAUCACUGUUCACAAAUCCCUAAUUCAAAAAUUACUGUUGAUUAUCGUUUUACAGCAGCGCCUCAGCUCCAGCCUUCACCCCGCAACGCAAGCAGCAGCCAGCGCGAACCAGUCGCGCCCAACGCAAGCCCCAGCAACCCAGAUUGUUAGCUCCAGCCGCGCGCAACGUAGCUGAGCAGCAGCAGACCAGCAGCGCGAACCAGCUCUCGCGCGCAACACAACGCGAACGCAGCAGUGCGUAGAUGCAGCCCAGCAACGCAGCGCGAACCAGCAAUGCAGCCUCACCAGCGCGCAACGCAAGCCCCCGCACGCGCAGCACCAGCAUCCCGUUUCUCGCAGCGCAGCAGCGCGCAACGCAGCGCAGCACCCGCAAAGCAAGCCUCACCAGCGCGCAACGCAAGCCCGCAACGCAGCAACGAGCACGCCCUGCAACGCAACCAGCUUACGCCUUGUAUUCCAGCCGGGUAAAUCGAAAUCCGUGAGUACAAUUAUUGUAACAAUGCCGAAGAGGAAAGCAUCCACUUCCAAGUCAUCGAAAAAGACACCCAUCGCAAAGAAAUCUAAGAUUGCCGCUCCCACUACGGUUCCAUGGAACACAAUUUCAGAUUCACGCCAAGCCGUGAGACAAAGAUCGAAGCAUGGAAAAGGCAUGAGUAUUUUGCCACUUGCGGAAUCCAAUCUCGAAGGGUGCCUUGCAUUCGCGACUCAACAAGAGAAAGAGAGGUACAAAGAUAUUUCCACGGGCAAAAUACUUCCAGCUAAGAAUUUUUGGAUAUGUCUAUGUUUGAAAGAACAUGUGUGGUUGAAUUCAAGGAGGGGAGAUUUCAGUUUACUGAACCAGGACCCACUCAACUUCCGAAGAAGCUUUAUGCUAGGAGUGGUGCUACCUCUGAUGACGAGUUUGACGACGACACUGCUGCCCCGCCAACUAUUCCUUCUACAUCCGCACCACCUUUGAGCAUUCAAUUAGAGAAAAUGGAGCACAAGCUGAACAAGAUGGAGCAGAAUUUGGCCGCAUACUUCGAGAGUGUGGGAUUUACCCCACCAUUUCCGCCAAGCCCAUAGACGUUAUGUGGAUCAAAGCUCACAAUUCAGGGAAGUUUCUUUUUGCCCUUAAUCCUUUAUCCUUACGCUUUAAUUUUUAUGUGAGCUUUGAUUAUCUUACAUUGGGGACAAUGUAAGUUCUUGGUGUGGGGGAGGGAUUUUUGCAUUAUUGAUGUCUGGAAUUAUUGUUUUCACUCUACUUAUUUUUUUUUUUCACUCUACUCAUCCUUAAAUGAUUUUGGAGUUAGUAUGCUUUAUAUAUUAUUAUUUUUUCUUUUCUUUUAUUUCUCACAACUUUUUUUUUCCCAUCUAUCUCAAAUUAUUUACAUCUAUUUUUAUUCUAUCAUACUGUUUCAUCGCUCACAUUUUAUCUUUCACUUUUCAUCUUUCUCACUUCUUAUCAUUUUUACCUUUCCUUUUAUAUAUCACCCAUACCUUCUUCUCAUUCUACACCACUAUUGAUGGUUGAUUCAUUUGAAGAGUGUACAUGAUUUGAUGGCAAAUUUACCAACUUUGUGAGGAUUUGAGCCUAUGAGCAACCACUUUGCUCUAAUAUUUUUGUUAUGUGAAUAUCAAUCUUAGUUUGUUUAUUCUAGAACUUGCUUUGUUAUGCAUGUUGAAGCCGCAUUACGGGAUUUUAUGCACUAAAAUGAUAAGGGCAAACCCUUUUCCAUUUUUCUAUUCUCGCAUUUUUUUUCUCUACCCGAAGAUCUUUAUUUGCUAUCUUUGUUUGAGCCUUAACAAUUACCCAUCUAAUUCUCUCCGUCUACUUAACCAUUUUUCUUCUUUUUUUUGAGCCUCAAUUUAAGGAGAUUUUUGGACUCAUUGUGUGGAUAUAUUUUGUUGCUUUUUCUACCUUGUAAUAAAGUUUCUCAAUUAGAUCAACAAGCAUUAUGCUUGAAUUAAAUUGUGCAAGGUUCGUUUCUUUUGUUUGAUUCAAAAACAAAAACAAAAAAAAAAAAACAAAAAACAAAAAAAAAAAAGAAAAAAAAAGAAAAAAAAAAAGAAAAAGAAAAAUCACAAAAAAAAAACAAAAAAAAAUGUUUACAUUCUUGGUGACUUAAGUAGAAAUAAGCAUUUUGAUAUCAUAAGUUCAUUCAAUGAGUUCAUUUUUCUCGUUUUAAUCUCUUUUUCUUUCGUAAACCUUUCUUUUUCAUUUAACCCAUUUAACCCCAUUACAACCCUCUUAAGACCCUUAGAUUUUUGCAUUUUAUUCAUGUUUUGUGGAUUGAGAUGUGAUAUAUGAGCAAGCUUAUGGUAAUAGCAUUCUUUGAUUUGAUUUGAGUGGAUAAAUGACACCCUAAAAACUUUGAGUGCAUGGAGUGAAGUUAUUGAGAGGGCUAUUAAAUCUUGUUGCACUUGAAUUUUGAAUGGAUCUCCUUGGUGGUUGAAUGUUCUUAUUCUAUCUUAUGAAAUUCUAUGCUUUAAAAUCCUUGUCUCUCGAAUGUUAAUCGACUUAAUUUCUUGAGGUAUGCUUUCUUAAAAUUGUUUUUGGAUGAGUUGAGAUGAGAAUUGAGUGGAGAUUUGAGAUUAAUCUUGAGUUAUAUGCUUGAGGACAAGCAUCAUCUUGGUGUGGGGGAAUUUGUUAGAGUGCAAUUUAUGCACUAGUUUUGCAUUGUUUACUUCCCUUAAUAUCGAUGUUUUACACUUAAUAAUAAUGUUUUACUUGUGUUUUACUUUUGUAGGUGCAAUUCUAUUGAUUGGUGAUAAAAUUGAGCUAAAAGAUGAUGUUUAAGGAGGAUUGUUCUCUUGGAGAAAUUAUGAGCGUCGAAAGAACUUUGUUGAUAAGGCGUGGGCGCGUGCUGUCAACUGCGGACCUGCAGUUUUUAGUUUAACGUGUUUUGUAUUUUUGGUUAUUUUUGUAAUUACGAAUUUAAUAUUUCAGAUAUUAGUAUUUUAUUUUAAAUAGAAUUCUAAAAGAGAAGAGAGAGAGAGUAUUUAAGGGAGGAAUCUAUUGUGAAAAGGGGGAUUUGGAUUGGAGAAAAAGAAAGAAACCCUAGAUCUAAUUUUUCUCUUCUCUCUAUGAAGAACUAAACCUAUUUUUCUGGUUGAAGGAUAAUGACGCUUUGAUUCAUCACUACUGUGAGAUUUUUCUUAUGCUUUAAUUGUUUUAUUACUUUUUGGGUAUUUGUUUAUUCUCUGAAUUAGUUUCAUGAUUAUGUUUGUUAAUUAGGUAAUUGUCCACUAUUUAAUUAUCAACUUAAUCUAUUGUCAAUUAAAGGAUUCAUCGUAUGAAGAAUUUAAUGUUUGUGACAAAUAACAUAGCAGAGAGUUGUGUUGUGAGAAUAAACAAUCUAAUUUAAAUGAAUCAUCAUAUGUGUUGAUUAGGAUUUGGGUCUCUCUGGUUUUUCAGGCUGUCAAUUGAUUAAAUCCUAUGAUCGUAUCAAGGGUUGUCUAUUGAUUAGGGAAAUAUCCAACGGUCGUACCUUGGUUAUCGACUAGUUAAGGAGAGAUUGGCUAUUAGAGGGUCUCAAUAGCUAUAACCGGUCUAUUCAUAAGUAAUAAUAAUAUAUAUUUGAAUCAAUGAUCAGUAGUCGAAUCAAGCUGAGUUAAUUCCUUCAACCAGAGCUUUCUCCAAUUUGAAUUACAACUUUAAUUUGCAUUUUGUAUUUAAUUUGAUUUUUAUUAUUGUCUACAAUUCCCCCAUUUUAUGUUUUACGUUUCAAAAGGAUUUAAAUAAUUACCGAUCUCUGUGGACACGACCCUGCUCAAUCACUAUACACAAUUUAUUUAGAGUAGGAAUUUAUUUUUGUUGGCUUCGACACCCAUCAGUUGAUUUGUGUUGUUUAUUGCUAGAUUUCGCAUAAUUGUUUGCUGAUUACUAGAACUGGCUCUGUUUGGAUCUGAUACCAUGUUUAAAAACAUAAAAAAUCACUGAUCAGUUUGUUUGGUUGCUAAGAAAAUUUGCUCUGUUUGCUGAGAAAGUUUCAAAGAAGAUUCUCGAUUUUUUUUAUUUCAUCUUUCUUACUUCACGAAUGAUUACAAACACACCUUUUAUACACAACUCAACUAGCUAACAGAAAGAAAGCUACAAAACAGAAUCUCAGUAAGCUUAACUAAUUUUGCUGAGCUGGCAUUACACACUUAACUAACUUCGGCUAACUAAAUUCUCACAUGUGCUAAGCAUGAGCAGACUGUUUGUACACAUUAUGUGCUUCUUUAACACAAUGGAGUUUUAAAAAUUUGGUACUUGUUAUCUUAUCGAAAGUUUUCAAAAUUAUAUGAAUGUUCAAACUUAGCCCCUCCCGGCACUGCCACUGCUUCUACGUGAAAGUCAUUUAAGUUUGUGUUAGCUGCCUAUAGAUUGAAUAACAAUUUUACUCCGGAUUUUUUGUCCAUUAUGAAAAUUUGAUUGAAAGUGCGGCUGCACUAAUUUUCUAGAUGAACUUCCCUACAUGUUUUUUCUCAUAUGACCCAGAAUACUGCUAUAACAAUUGUAUUGGAAACUAUUCAACUGGGUUACUAUUCUACAUCCCCACCAAAAUUUAAACAGUCGACAUUGUGGAAAGAAACUCAUUUCGCCACUAGGCUUUUAGUGAGGCUAAUUUCUCUGAAUUUGGACAGAGUAGAUUUCUAAGCUAAUGCUUGGAAGAUCUCUGGCGAUAUUACAAAGUGCAUGUACAUUGAGUCUUAAUAAAUAUAAACGAUUCUCUAAUAUGAUUCAAAACAUCACUACAUGCAUAAGUUAAUAAGAGAAAAAAUUAUAAGAUUAUUUAUGCAUCACCAUUUAUAGUUGCACCCUCUCUAAUGAAAUUGAAGGUGCAGCCAGCAAUUAAAAUGAAGCAGAAAUGUACAUUGACCCUUAAUAAAUAGAAACUAAGGCGUUAUCGAUUCAACUUCAGUUGAUCAAUUGCGGGUGAAAGAUAAAUAAAGGAUAAGAGAAUAGAGCUGGAGUGCUAAAUUGGCUAUUGAAGAAGGGUGUCACAUGAUCACAAUCACAUUGACGCACAACUCUUUGGAGGCAAAUUUUGUCUAUGUGUACUCUAAAUUCAGCCAAACCAUACAUGUAUGAACAGAAUUUAAACCGUAGUUCUCAUCACAAUAGUAAUUGAAGCUACAAAAGCCAGAAAAUCUGAACAAAAACUUAAAAGGAAGAUUUUAUUCAAGUUUGCCCCCAAAAGACAGUUGAAAUGAAAAAUAUUGACUAUUGAAUGGGUCAAUGCUGAAUUACAUUUCAAAUGGAAAGCUUGGCAACAGUUACAAUGUUUCCCCUCUGAUUUUCCUCCAAAACAAAUUCAGUUAUAAACAAUAACUGAAGUAGGAAUAAUUUAUUCAUCAAAGAAAAUACCCUAGUUUUCAACUAACAAAUCCUGCUAUCCAAAUUAAAAAAACUCGCAUCUCUAAAAUUUAUUUGUAAACUGUUGGAAAUGAGGAGUGAUCUGUCAACUCCGUAAAUAAACUCAGGCAUAAUAUUAAUAAUAAUUAUAAAUUACAUAAUAAUUAUUAUAAAGAAUCAUAAAUUGGAAACGCUAAUCAUUCUACAAUCUAUUAUAUAAGUAAGAUAAGUCUCAUAAUAAGUUAAGUUAUAAUGUAAUAAAUACUUUCAAUAUAUAAUUAUUUAAGAAGGCAUUUAACAAUAAAAUAUUUUUUUUUCUAUUCGGUUGAUCAUAUAGUGUUAUCUAAACUCUUGACGAUAUUAUUAUUACUCACUUUUCUAAAAAAAAAACAUGAUUAACGUUUAGAGAAAAGUCAUGCCCCUUAAAAAUAAUAUGUAUACAAGCUAUCCAUACUUUAUCUUACCAUGACAAAAUUGAUGGUGAUUAAAUCUACUUUUAAAAUAGAUUUAAUGCACAGAUAUUAUGACUUCUGGCAAAAAUUAGUUUUGGAAGACAUAAUGGUAGAAAAUAGUGAUGAUCAUUAUUUAAAUGUGUAAAUAGCCUAGGCAUAGCCUGUAAUACCAAUAUCCAUUUGCCUUUAUUUGGAUUAUCACAUUUCAUGAUAUUCUUAUAUUUAUGACCAUUGUUCGAGAUUUGAACUUGAUCAUAAAUUAAGCUGCAAGAGAUUUUACUUCAGUUUCUAAGCUUUUCAAUCGUGAUUCAUCCAUGCCUUUCUUGGAUACCAUUAUGUUACGUGCCAAUGUAACUGACCUUGUAAUUGGUGUGUAUAAGGAAACAUGCCCUUUCAAGAUUGUUUUCUUUUGUUUCCUUAUUGUAGUAGUCAAAUAAAUAAAGAACGAACAAUUGAACUUGGUCUACUUCGAGGAAAACCAAGGCCUGCAAUAUUAGAUGAACUUUGAACAAAAUUAAUCUACUGCUUUUAUUCAUCUUUGGACUAUGAAUUUAUACAAAGACUUUAACAAAAAAUAACAAAGACACAACUGAAUGAUAGCAACAAGUGCUGACUUAGCGGACUACUGCAACAACUAAAUAAAAACUAAAUAUUUAUUUUGACUGUAACAACAAUUGCCCUGAUGAAUAGGACUCCACAGCAGCCACGUGACAACUAAUUUCUCCUUAAUAUUAUUAUUAGUAGAAGUAGAUUUUCAAACUAGUCUUGAUAUAUUUCGAAGUUGUAUUAUUAUCAAUGUAUAUGUAUCUAGAUUGUAACUAUAUUUUAAAAAAUAUAAUUUUUUUAAUUAUUGCACAGUAAAUGUAGAAAAAUAUCUAUAAAAUAAUAUUAUUAGGACUAAGAAAAAAAUAUUAUUUUAUAUAAGUUAUUUAUUUAUUAUUGAAUGAAUAAUUUAUUAAUUUAUUGAUAAACGAAUAUUUAUUAAUUUAAAGAGAGAUUAUUUUGGUUUUAAGAAGAGUUUGUUUGGUACAUGUACACACUUAUAAAGAAACACAAAAGGUGCUUCCUCAAGUUAAUAGUAUUUGCUUUAAUCGCUAUAGUUCACAAUAAUAUAGCAUAGUUUGGAAAAUUGUAAUUAUACUAUGUCUACGUUUGGUACAAUUUUUCAAGAAGAACUUAUUUAAAUAGAGUUUUUGUUAGUAGAACAUUUAUAAAUAAAAUUUUUACUGAAAAAAUUUAAGUUAUUUGGUUGUCAUUGUCAAAAUUGAUGAACUUUUGAUCUUUUGUUAACAUGUGUUUUUUUUACUAAAUAAUAAAUGUUAGGUUACAAUUAUUUUCAAUAGUUUUUGAAGGAAUCAAGUUAUGAAAUUUUUAUCAAUGAACUUUCAAUAUGUCAGCAUAUGGUCUGUAAAAUUUGAGAGUUUUCCAAUGAGGGAAUAAUUUAUUAAAAAUAAGAGAAUAUGGAUUGUUCUGUUUUAAGGGCCGAUUAUUGAGGACAUUUGAGGUUGAGCUUAGGAGAUGUUUAAAUUGAGAUAUUUGAGGACAUUAUGUUAGCCUAAAGGGCUACACAUAAUGUAAUUUUGAUGAUAACAAACAUGUGUCUUAAGUAAAAAUAAUAAAUAUUGUAUUUCACAUUUUCACUAGUUUUUGAAGGAUAAUAUUUAUGCAAGUGAAUCAAGUGAAAUCAAGAUUGAAGAUACUCAACGGACAACGGCGACAUCAAGAAUAUAGUUUAGAGCUCAAUGAACAAAUUAGUGCGAUAAAUUCUUGUAAAGCCGGUAUGAUUUAAUUGAUGCAUGAUUUAGCAUUUGAGAAGCUCAAGAGAUUAAUUUAAUUAAAUACUUUUCAUAAACUAAAAGGUUUUAUUUUUAUAAAGUAAAGUAUUUUGUGGAUUUGAGUAAUUUGGACUUAAAUGCUAAGAUUUGAAAUCUUUGAUUUUAAUAAGUAUUAAAUUUCGGAGUUGGACGUUUUGAUAAACAUUUGAAAUGUUUUGGGUCAUACUAUAAUUUAUAAAUAUUUUGGACUAAAGUGAAAGGUUUUGAGAACUUUGAAAAAUAUGGGUAUUAUGUUGAAAAGGACCUUUGUGCGAACUAAAAAUUUCUUUGGGGCCAUAUCAUAAUUUCAGAAAGUUUGGGAAGACAACUACUCUUAGGAAGUUCUGAAAUUGGACCUAUUUGCAAAGUUUUAUGACAUUUUGAGCCAUAGUAUAAUUAUAGAAAGUUUUGAGCCAAAGUAUAAUUUUAGUGAACAGUGUUACUAUAGCAAUUCAAAAAUAACGGUAAUAUCACUGUUCCUGAGCGGCUAGCCGGAUAAAUCAAGCGGCUAACUGCUUGGGCGAGGGAAUUUGCCUAUAACGGCUAGUUUUCAGGCUUUAACUAUAAAAACUCAGCUCAAACUUCAUUCUAAGUACUAAUGCAUGCAAAUAUAAGAUCAUACAACAUAUAUUGAGCUUCCAAAAUGCAAAUCAUCAUUGAUUGAAUCAUUGUUGAGCUAUUAGUUGCAUAUCCACUCUUAAAGAGAGUUUUUGUUGUAAUUUUCAUUUCUUAUCAAAUUGUGAGUGUGUGAGUGUGUAAGUGUGGGAAACACUUGGGGUGAAGAGAUUGGGGAGAUAAUCUCUUGGUUGUAAAGGUUCAUUGACACCUUGGAAGUCAAUUGUAAAAACUUGAACCCUUGAGAGGCUUGGAUAGUGAAAUCCUCGAGCAUGGUUGGCUUGGAGGCGUGGACGUAAGCAGGGAUUGCCGAACCACGUAAAAAUCCGCGUGUUUGUUUCUCUCUUCCCUUGCUCUUUUAUUUUUACGCUUGUUUGAAUUUAUUGUUCUCUAUUUCAUUAAGGCGUUAGAUUGAUUUAUUGUGCGAAUUGUAUUGCAUUAUUUUUAAAAACUCAAUUCACCCUCCCUCUUGGGUUGCAUUACUUGCAUUUACAUUAGAGUUUAUGAUUGAGACUCGAUUAUAUCUUAUGAGAAAUUUAUUGAUGAUUUUAGGUUGAUGAUAACAGUACGCAUUUGUUACAUGAGGAUGCCAAGAGGUAAGUAAACUAGACUUAAAAACGAAUCACAAUAAACAAUAUAUAUGUUUGACUUGUAUGAAAAGUCUAUUUUGAUAUGUACGAAUAUAGAUUUAUAUGUCUCUACUCAUGUGUUUAUGUGAUGUGUUGUUAUGUAUUGGGCGUGAUUAUGUACAUAGGCAUAUGUAUGUGUGAUGGUUCAUUGUCAUGAGCACGAAAAUGCAUUGAGUUUUCUAUGAAUGAAAAGUGGAUUUUAGCAAAUGAGAUUUCUCUUUUAUGAGAUUUUGCAUUGGGGGCCACCUCUUGAGGGCCAGAGUGCCGCAAAGUACCACGCACAACACAAAGUGCCACAUUGCAGGAUACGUAUUUUAUUGAAAGGAAAUAUGAAAGUUUGAAAGCGACAGAAAGAGAUUUUUAUGAAUUUGUUUUACAGUAUUUCCAAAAGAUCAUGGCAUAGCAUCCAUCUACAUUAUGUAUAAGUAUGCAUGUUUGCUUAUUGAGUUUUGUACUCAUUAUAGUUUAUUAUGAUUCAGUUUCCAGAAGUCAGGAUUGAUUCGUGAUGAGUGAGAAGAUGAAUUUAAAUUGAGGAUGGUAGAUGGUUUGGCUAAAUUUUUAAGUUAUUCCGCUGGCUUUUGUAUUCGAGGCUCGAAUUUUAUCGGUUGUAAAGAGUUAUUUAAAUUCAUAUGUGAGUUGUAGUCAGAUUUGCCCUCGGAGUUCGGGUUGGGGCGUUACAGAUGCAGAAACAGAAAACUAUUAGCUUAUCUUGAUUUUCCCACUAUAUUCAUUUUCGAUGCUUUUCAAACGAGAUUCUUUUAAUCCUUCUGGCGUAUGCAGCCCUUGCUCUUCUUAUAAAUCUCCAUCCGACAUCUGCACUAGGAACAAGUUGAUUGAAAUUAAAUAACAUUAGAGAUGACGGACGGUUGAGCCGUUAACUCGGUAAAAAAACUCAUAUAUAAUAUUACUAAUAAAAAAAAAUAUAAUAAUCAUUACUAAGAAUCAUAAAUUAGAAAAAUUAAUUAUUUUACAAUCUAUUUCGCAAGUAAGAUAAAUCUCAUAAUAAGUUAAGUUAUAACGUAAAAAACAUUUUCAAUUUAUAAUCGUUUAAGAAGUCAUUUAACAAUAAAAUCUUUCUUUUGGUCAGUUGGCCAUGCCACAGAGUAUCAUCUAUAUUCGUGGUGAUAUUAUUAUUACUCCGUAUUCUCAAAAAACUUGAUUUAACAUUUAGAGAAAAUUCCUACCAUUUAAAAAGAACAUGUAUGCAGCAGCUACCCAUACUUUAUCUUACCCCGACAAAAUUAAUGGUGACUAAAUCAAUUUUCUCGAUUAAAGCAAAAUUUUCUUAAAAACGAUUUAAUGCACAAAUAUGAUGACUUUUUGCAAAAAUUAGUUUUGGAAAAUAUAGUGAGAGAAAAUAGUGACGAUUAUUGUUUAGAUGUGUAAAUAGCCUAAACAUAAUUGCUAAUACCAACAUCCACGUGCAUCUUAACACCUUUCGUGAUAAUCUUUCAUUCAUGGUCACUGGUUCAAGAUUUGAAUUUGAUCAUUAAAUCAUGUUCAAGAAUAUUAGAGAUCCCAACAAUUGAGUUCCAACUUAAAUCCUAAUGCUAUGUGUCAUUGACCAAUAUUGUGUCAUUUUUUGUUAACUGGGUGAUGAAUUUCUAGUUGAUAAAAUUACUUAAAAAUAUCUUAAAAAUCAGAUAAUAGUUAGCUUAAUUUUUUGAAGCUAACUGCUCAAGAUGCUCUAUUAGAAAUGAUAACCUAAUUAUAUAAAAAAAAAAAUGAUGUAUUUUUUUCGGUGUUGAUAGUGAGAUUAUCAUUCAACAUGUUAAAAUAUGAAAACAUAUGGAAGAAGGUUGUAAAUUGAUUGAAUGAAAAUAUUUCAGUGAAGUCUAAAAAAUUUGGUACUUGUUAUCUUAUCGAAAGUUUUCUAAAUUACAUUCGUGGCACUGCCACUGCUUCCAUGUGAAGGUCAUUAAAAUUUGUGUUAGUUACCUAUAUGUUGAAUAAUAAUUUUAUUCAUGAAUUGUUGCUCAAUAUAGCAGUUUCUAGAUGAAUUUUCCUACAUGUUUGUCCUCAUAUGACCUAGAAUGCUGCCAUAUCAAUUGUAUUGGAAAUUAUUCAAGUGGGUUUGUGCUCUAUACCCCCACCAAAAUUUAAGCAAUCUACAGAACAUUCCUUGUGGAAAGAAACUUAUUUCGCUACUAGGUGGGAGUAGAUUUCUAAGCUAAUGCUCGGCAGAUCUCUAGGCUAUACUAAAAAGUGUAUGCACUUUGACUCUCAAUAUAUACGAGUGAUUCUAUGAUAUGACUGAAAACAUCAGUACAUGCAUGAUUUUAUAAGAAAGAAUAUUCUAAAAUUAUUUAUGUAUCACCAUUUGAAGUUGUACCCUCUCGAAUGAAGGUGCAAUCAGCAACUAAAAUGAAGCCCGAAAUGUACACGCGUGAAGCAGUUUUUCUAGAAGAUUGAUAUUUCUCAAACUAGCAAACCGUACAAGUCCAAAGCUAGAAAAAGGAGUGCUUCUAAGCAGAAAACAUUGAUUAAAACAGAAUGCACACAAACAUACCAGCAAAUUCAAAAUAGAAAAAGGAGUGCAACUGUUCAAGUUUGUGGACAAUAUUGCAACCGUGGCAUAUUUAUAGCAAAUCCUUGAAAUCUGCUAAAUAAACAAUGCCCUGUCUCAUGAAUCAAAGCCGAAUUAAAAUUGAAAUUGAAAGUCCGGCUGGUGUUGUUUCCCUCUCCAGUUUUGCCCACAUAAGUGAAGGGAAAUGAGAAUCAUAAACUAAAAUCUGCUUUUACAGUUCUUAUUAGAUAGAUAUAAAGGGAUCUUUCUUUGUUUCUCUGCUGCAAUUUGUGGCUAUCCCACUCUGUUUUGCCACUCAAGCUUAGUCUACGUUGAGACACAAUUUUGACAUCAGAAGCAACCUCAAUUAGUUUGGCAUUUUUAUGACCUCCUUGUACGUUUUACGAUAAACAUAAAUCUACUGAGAAAGUGGGAAAAAAAGAAAAUGCAUAUAAAAGUAUGAGUUAUCAGACAUGAUUAAAACUCACCCAAUUCAAUCCAUUAGAUUCCGUAAGGAUAUAACUGGAUGUCAUACCGCCAUUCCAUAUCCUCGAAAGUCCGUAGCCUCUGUCUCAACUCUGUCUGAGGCCAAUGUAAAUCCAAUAUGCGCAAGCUCUUUAUGCACCACAGCUCUUCUGGAAGCUUUCUCAAGUAAGCACAAGGGUUGACAAUUAAGCUUUCAAGUUUUGGCAUUGCUCCAGCCCCCAUCGUCCACUCAUCUAGCCAAAACAUUGAUUUCAGGUGCAAAACCUUACGUUCCGGAAAGCAACCAGGGCCAACGCAGGCCAGCUUUCUUCCUAAAUACGAGUUUUGCUUCAGUUUCAGCACUUGAAGGCGUGGAAGCUUUUCCAGCAUUGGCAUGGGAUCCUCCAUUAGCUCAGUAUUCGAUAAGCUCAGAUGGCUCAGACUUGGAGGAAAUUGGUAUUCAGACAGGAUAAUCCGUGAGGGCUUGCUCUCAUUCACCAGCUUCAAGCAUUCAAGUUUGUGCAGUUCGCAUAGGCUUUUGGAAACCCCGGAUUGAUAGUAACUCAAAUCUCCAGAUAUUCUUAGACUUUGGACAAGAUAUUCUUAGACUUUGGACAUUUGGUAGUCUGCCCAAUAUAGCUGGACUGCAACUACUAGGAUGUAAGGCUGAUAAGAAAAUGAGAUUUUUCAGAGAGCUUCAAUAAUUUUUUGGAGGUGCGGGCAGAGUGAUGCAACCGAAGUUUAGAUGCAUGAGUUUUUGCAUCAUCCAAAUAUCCUCUGGUGAAUGAUCUAUGUAGCUAGAUGGCAUUUCUAGCGUUUGAAGGUUUAAAAGGGAGCAUAGCAGUGAAGGAAUGCAUUUGAGCGAAGGGAUAUUCAAUUUCAAAUACUUCAAAAGGAAUAAAUUUUCUAAUCCGGCUGGAUAUUGGUCGAGAACUGCAGAACCCAAGUUCAAUACCCGAAGGUAUUUGAACUUGUCGCAAUCUAUCAGAGCGAGAUGAUCGCUUGCCGAACUGUUAUUCAGAAAAGAUUGGAGAUACAUGUCAGAAUGUCCUAAAGAUAAAAACCCAGUCAGAUCUUGGGCAAUGACGCACCGUUUAACAUUUGCCACUGGCUCCUCUUCCCUGUCACGCAUCCAUACAAAUUCCGUCUUCUCUGCCACCGAGCACAGUAAAGUAAAUUCAAAACCUGGAACAUAAAACGCUUUAAUUGUGCCGCCGGCUCCUCUUACUCACUUGAAUGAAGCCGCAAUGGAUUAGUUCUUUCAAGUAAUGUUCUGCCGUCUCCUCACUGUUGUAUGGUAUGAAACCUUCAGCUACCCACAACUGAUAUAAUUGUCUCGUAGAUAUCUCAAUGUCUGGACGGAAGACAAACAAAUAGGUGUAGCAGACUUUCAAGUGAAAAGGUAACUCCAUCACAGAAUAAAUUUGUCUCCAAAUUGUCCGAAUCGCUUAGGCUUGAAGAUAAUUUUCUAAUGGCAUACUUCCAUAGUGUAGGAUGAAAAAUUGCCAGGCCUCAUACUUUAAUCUGAUCAAUGGUCCUCCAACGAGCACAGAAUCAGGCCGAAUCUUCUCUCCAUUUUCCAUUUCCAACGACACAAGGAGUUCUGGAUCAGUGACUGUUAUCAAUACUCUGCUUCCAUUCUCAUUAUCAGGGAGACCUUCUUCGAGAUCAUCCCAUAUCUCACUGUUAUCGAAGACAUCAUCAAGCACAAUAAAGUACUUCUUGUUUGUUAGGUAAUCUCGAAGAAUAGAUUUCUUCAAUUGAUAAUUGAAAGAGUUUGUAUAUAGUGUUUGGUUUAAGAGAAACUAACAAGAAAAUAAAAGAAAAUCAUAAAGAACCAGAUCUGAAAAUGAUCAUAUUCUCAUUUUUUGACUAAUGAUUACAACUUGUUAUUUAUAGUAAAGAUCAGAGGCGUCACGUAGCUUGUCAGUUUGUUGGAUCUAAUAUGCAUGCAGUACAGUUCGUUAUCUUUGCUGCUGAGCUGGAUAACUAACUCAACACACGUAAGCAUCAGCAGCUCCAUUUAAUCAGAUGCUCUCAUCUAUACCAUAUUAUCAUACUCUAUAACAUCCUCCCUCAAGCUGAACUGACCUGGAUGGACAUUCAGCUUGCUUCUUAGAUAGUGAAACUGAUUGAAGGUUAGUGCCUUGGUAAGAACAUCGGCAUUUUGGUCUUCACUGGGAAUGAACUGAACUGUAAUUUGCUUAGCUGUUACUUUGUCUCUGAUGAAGUGAAUAUCAAGCUCAACAUGCUUAGUUUUAGCAUGAUAAACAGGAUUGUGAGCUAAAGCUAUGGCACUUUGAUUAUCACACCACAUUAUGGGGGCUGUGACAAGAUGAAUAUGUAGCUCUUUCAGUAAGGACUGAAUCCAAGUAACCUCAGCUGUAGCUUGAGCCAAAGCUCUGUAUUCAGCUUCAGUGCUUGAUCUGGAAACUACUGCCUGUUUCUUAGACGACCAAGAAACCAAAUUUGAACCAAGAUAAACAGCAUAACCAGCCACUGAUUUGCGAUCAUCCUUAUCACAUGCCCAAUCUGAGUCACUAAAACAAUUUAUCUGCAUAGUGCCGUAAUGAUAAAAAUGUAAUCCAAAAUGAAUUGUUCCUUUCAAAUAUCUAAGAAGCCUCUUACAAGCCUCCCAGUGCUCUGCUGUUGGUGAAGCUAAAAACUGACUAAGUUUGUUUACAGAGAAAGCUAUUUCUGGCCUAGUGAGAGUCACAUAUUGUAAAGCUCCAACUGCACUUCUAUAUUGAGAACUAUUUGAAAUAACACUUCCUGACCCCUUUGUAAGAUAAUGACCAGUGGCCAUGGGAGUAGGAACUGGACUGCAGUCAGCCAUAUUGUGUUUGGCUAGAAUAUCAGCUAUGUAUUUAGAUUGAGAGAGAUAAAUUCCAGAUGCUGUUUUGGUAACUUCUAUCCCAAGAAAAUAACUCAAUUUGCCCAGAUCCUUCAAAGCAAAAGCAUUUUGCAUAUUGGUAAUCACUUGCUGCACCAUUUGAUCACUUGAGCCUGUUAUGAUUAUAUCAUCCACAUAGACAAGAACAAAAAUUACUUGAUCACCUAUCCACUUGUAGAAAAGGGAGUUGUCUGACCUUGAAUUUUGGAAACCCCAUUUCACAACCAUAGCAUCUUUCAGUCUCUCAAACCAUGCCCUGGGGGCUUGUUUUAAACCGUAGAGAGCCUUUUUCAACUUACAGACAUGAAGAGGUCGAGAUGGAUCAAUGAAGCCCUCUGGCUGCCCCAUGUACACAUCUUCAACUAAUAUGCCAUUCAAAAAGGCAUUAUUCACAUCCACUUGUCUGAGCUCCCAUUUAUUCAUAACUGCCAAACUUAAAAUAACUCUGACUGUGGAUGCUUUAACAACUGGACUGAAUGUUUCUGUGUAAUCAACUCCUUGUGUCUGAUGAAACCCCUUAGCCACUAACCUGGCUUUGUAUCUAGAAAUGGUUCCAUCAGCAUGAUAUUUUAUCUUGAAUAUCCAUUUGUUACCAACUACCUUAACUGGUUCACUUGGCAAAACCAGAUCCCAUGUAUGAUUAUUCUGAAGUGCUUGAAAUUCUUCUUGCAUUGCCUUAAACCAUUUUGGAUUAGAUAAAGCAGCUGAAACAGAAGUAGGUUCUGAAGGUAUGGCUAGUAAAGCAGCUAAAUAAGAUUUAGGCUUAAAUAUACCAGCCUUGGAUCUGGUUAUCAUGGGAUGACCUAUAGGUGGUGCAGCAGGUAAUAUAUGAGGAGGAGAUUGUGUAUGAUGUAUAGGAUGUGUAUGUGAUGUCAAAGUAGAAGAUGAAGAGGAGGUUGAAGAAGGAGAGAAUACCUGUGGAGUGUCAGCAGGUAGGUAAUCACUUGCUAGAGAUUGUUGCAGGGGGGAUUGUACUUGUGGGAUUGGAACAAGAGUAACUUUGGACUCUGAAGAAAUAUCUGAGGGACUGCAAGACUGAGCAAUGGAAGAGAAGUCUAAUCCAGAUACAUAUGGAAAAGAUUGUUCAUCAAAGAUGACAUGAUUGGACACAUACACACGACCAGAUGAAUGAAGACACUGAUACCCUUUAUGAGAAGAGCUAUACCCAAUAAAAACACAUCUGUUUGAUCUAAAACUGAGCUUGUGUCUGUUAUAAGGUCUGAGAUAAGGAAAGCAAGCACAACCAAAGACCCUAAGAGAGACAUAAUCUGGUACUUGCUGAAAAAGUUUUUGGUAAGGUGAAAUGUAUUCAAAGUUGGUGUGGGUAGUCUGUUAAUAAGGAAUACAACAGUAUGAAAGGCAUUCCACCAGAACUUAAGUGGUAAAUUAGCUUGAGCUAACAGAGUGAGGCCAAUGUCCACUAUGUGUCUAUGUUUUCUCUCAAUUCUUCCAUUUUGAUGAUGGAUAUGUGGACAAGGAUGCCUGAACUGAAUUCCAAACUGAGUGAGAUAUGAUGCAAAGGUUCUAAACUCCCCUCCCCAAUCUGUUUGAACUGUUUUGAUGUGUUGUUGUAAGUGUUUUUCAAUAAAAGAUUUGAAUUCUGUGAAAACUUGGAGUGCAUCUGAUUUGGCAGUCAAAGGAAAAAUCCAUGUGAAUCUGCUAAAAUCAUCUAAAAUGGACAAAUAAUAUAUAUAGCCUUGAGUGGAUGCAACAUGUGAUGGUCCCCACAAAUCAGCAUAUAUAAGUUGUAAUGGUGCUGUUGUUUUUGUUGGAAUAGAUCCAAAAUGUAAAAGGUGACUUUUACCAUGUUGACAGGCAUUGCAAAAGUUUGGAGUUUUAUUGAGUACAUUGAAACUAUUACAAGCUUUCAAUACAGAUUUGAGUGUGUGUAAGGCAGGAUGUCCUAGCCUUUUAUGGAAAACAUUGACAUCGACUGAGCUAGUAUUGACAGCCAAGGCUGAUUUACACAGCAAAUGAUGAGACAAAGUACUCUUACUUAUUUCAGGAGAAAUAUCACUAGACAAAGGAGAAUGAAAAGCAAACAAAGACUGAGGUUUAUUGGAAGAAAGUUGACAAGACAAGGCUGAGCUAGUUUCAGAGACUUGAGCUGCAGAUUGGACUUGAUACAAUCCCCCUGUUGCAAUUCCUCUAAGCAAAGUGAUCCCUGAGUUCCUGGCCUUGACAACACAGACAUUUGCAAAAAACUCAAGUGUCACAUUAUUAUCUACUAAGAGCUUUGAAACACUGAGUAAAUUUUUCUUAAUAUUUGGAACAUGAAGAACAUGGUUUAAACACAAGGGUUUAUUUGCAGUAGUAGCUAGCAAUACUGAUCCAAUAUGCUGAAUAUGCAAUGCAGAACCAUUCCCAACAAGCAAUUUGUCAGUUCCAACAUAUGGCUUGAGAUCCAGUAAUUUACCUGGGUCAUUUGUGAUGUGGUUAGUAGCACCACUGUCAAUGUACCAAGCUGGAUCUUCAAUCAUCUCAGGUGCAUGAGCUGGAACAGGGACUGAAGGAGAUCCAGAGUAAUCUCCAGUAGGAGCAAAAGCAUGAGCAGGAGAGUAACCACCAUGAGAAUUAGAUGGUUGAUAAACAUUGAAAGCAGCUGGAUCUGAAUACAUCAAAUGGCCUUGAUAACCAGGUGCUCUUGGUAUGUUGAAAUUACCAAACUGAGAGUUACCAAUUCCAGCACCAUAUUGAGGAUUAAGAUUUCUACCAAAAUUACCAAAAUUUCCAUAAGCCAUAGAAGACCUAUUGCCAUUAGCAUAGCCAAAACCUCUACCAUACUGCCUCUGACCAGGCCUAAAAUUUCCAUUAAAACCACCUCUUCCUUGAUUUCUUGAAGGAACAAAAGCUGAGUUAAACCUAUUCCUGCAUUUAUUGGCACCAUGACCAGGAAUGAAAUAGAUCUGACAUACAAUUUGUGAGAAGUUACCAUCACUAGAUCCAGCUCCAGAAUUAUAACUUCCUCCAUACGAUCCAAUGUUAAACUUCUGAUUACCACUAGUGUUUUUACUAGGAUUGAACUGCUUUUGAGCAACAUUAGCUGACAAGUUAUGUGUAACAUCACUUGCAAUUUUUCCUCUCUUUUGUUCCACAUGAUUUUCAUGACUCAAUAACAAUGAAUAAAACUCAUCAAGACUGAUAUUAUCUCCUCUAGCUAACACAGUAGUAACUAGUGAUUCAUAAUCAGAGGAAUCCAAUCCAGUCAAAACAUGUUGAACGAAAUCAUUCACUUCAACAGGUUUUCCAGCUAAAGCCAAGCUAUCAGAUAUCCUUUUCAUUUUUGCAAAAUAAUCAGUUAUGGACAUCGAGCCUUUUUUAAGAGUUUGGAUUUGCAUUUUUAGAGGCAUUAUUCUAGCUUGUGACUGGGAAACAAACAUACUUGUAAGUGUAUCCAGCAGCUCCUUUGCAGUUGAGCAGUGGAUCACAGUUGUCAACAGAUUCGGCUGAAUAGAUGAGAGCAUCCAGCUCAGAAUCAAUUGAUCCGUCUUUAUCCACAUUGUGUAAGCUGGAUUGAUCUCUUGAUUCUCUGUUCCAGUUGAGAAACCAGCAGCAGAGCUUAUAGCAGAGAAAAAUUUUCCCGGACAGACUUGAUUUCCAUUGAUGAAAUCUUCUAAACCAUUUCCUUUAAUGGAUAUGAGAAUCUGAGUUCGCCAAACAAUGAAGUUAUUAUGAUCUAGUUUUAUCGGAGUAAUAAAACUAUAGGAUCCAGAAUUUUGAUUCGAAUUUGCCAUUUGUUAGCUCUGAUACCAUGAAAGAGUUUGUAUAUAGUGUUUGGUUUAAGAGAAACUAACAAGAAAAUAAAAGAAAAUCAUAAAGAACCAGAUCUGAAAAUGAUCAUAUUCUCAUUUUUUGACUAAUGAUUACAACUUGUUAUUUAUAGUAAAUAUCAGAGGCGUCACGUAGCUUGUCAGUUUGUUGGAUCUAAUAUGCAUGCAAUACAGUUCGUUAUCUUUGCUGCUGAGCUGGAUAACUAACUCAACACACGUAAGCAUCAGCAGCUCCAUUUAAUCAGAUGCUCUCAUCUGUACCAUAUUAUCAUACUCUAUAACAUCCUCCCUCAAGCUGAACUGACCUGGAUGGACAUUCAGCUUGCUUCUUAGAUAGUGAAACUGAUUGAAGGUUAGUGCCUUGGUAAGAACAUCGGCAUUUUGGUCUUCACUGGGAAUGAACUGAACUGUAAUUUGCUUAGCUGUUACUUUGUCUCUGAUGAAGUGAAUAUCAAGCUCAACAUGCUUAGUUUUAGCAUGAUAAACAGGAUUGUGAGCUAAAGCUAUGGCACUUUGAUUAUCACACCACAUUAUGGGGGCUGUGACAAGAUGAAUAUGUAGCUCUUUCAGUAAGGACUGAAUCCAAGUAACCUCAGCUGUAGCUUGAGCCAAAGCUCUGUAUUCAGCUUCAGUGCUUGAUCUGGAAACUACUGCCUGUUUCUUAGACGACCAAGAAACCAAAUUUGAACCAAGAUAAACAGCAUAACCAGCCACUGAUUUGCGAUCAUCCUUAUCACAUGCCCAAUCUGAGUCACUAAAACAAUUUAUCUGCAUAGUGCCGUAAUGAUAAAAAUGUAAUCCAAAAUGAAUUGUUCCUUUCAAAUAUCUAAGAAGCCUCUUACAAGCCUCCCAGUGCUCUGCUGUUGGUGAAGCUAAAAACUGACUAAGUUUGUUUACAGAGAAAGCUAUUUCUGGCCUAGUGAGAGUCACAUAUUGUAAAGCUCCAACUGCACUUCUAUAUUGAGAACUAUUUGAAAUAACACUUCCUGACCCCUUUGUAAGAUAAUGACCAGUGGCCAUGGGAGUAGGAACUGGACUGCAGUCAGCCAUAUUGUGUUUGGCUAGAAUAUCAGCUAUGUAUUUAGAUUGAGAGAGAUAAAUUCCAGAUGCUGUUUUGGUAACUUCUAUCCCAAGAAAAUAACUCAAUUUGCCCAGAUCCUUCAAAGCAAAAGCAUUUUGCAUAUUGGUAAUCACUUGCUGCACCAUUUGAUCACUUGAGCCUGUUAUGAUUAUAUCAUCCACAUAGACAAGAACAAAAAUUACUUGAUCACCUAUCCACUUGUAGAAAAGGGAGUUGUCUGACCUUGAAUUUUGGAAACCCCAUUUCACAACCAUAGCAUCUUUCAGUCUCUCAAACCAUGCCCUGGGGGCUUGUUUUAAACCGUAGAGAGCCUUUUUCAACUUACAGACAUGAAGAGGUCGAGAUGGAUCAAUGAAGCCCUCUGGCUGCCCCAUGUACACAUCUUCAACUAAUAUGCCAUUCAAAAAGGCAUUAUUCACAUCCACUUGUCUGAGCUCCCAUUUAUUCAUAACUGCCAAACUUAAAAUAACUCUGACUGUGGAUGCUUUAACAACUGGACUGAAUGUUUCUGUGUAAUCAACUCCUUGUGUCUGAUGAAACCCCUUAGCCACUAACCUGGCUUUGUAUCUAGAAAUGGUUCCAUCAGCAUGAUAUUUUAUCUUGAAUAUCCAUUUGUUACCAACUACCUUAACUGGUUCACUUGGCAAAACCAGAUCCCAUGUAUGAUUAUUCUGAAGUGCUUGAAAUUCUUCUUGCAUUGCCUUAAACCAUUUUGGAUCAGAUAAAGCAGUUGAAACAGAAGUAGGUUCUGAAGGUAUGGCUAGUAAAGCAGCUAAAUAAGAUUUAGGCUUAAAUAUACCAGUCUUGGAUCUGGUUAUCAUGGGAUGACCUAUAGGUGGUGCAGCAGGUAAUAUAUGAGGAGGAGAUUGUGUACACACUGAUCCAUGUACAACACAUCUCUUGAUUAUCUGUGUGUGUGCUGCUCAUCAAUGAUUAACAAGAUACAGUAGUUUUGUGAAGUCUCAUGUCUUGUGUUACAAAAUUUUGUGAUGGAAAGAAGGAAUAAUUCAACUAAAAAAAAAAAACACACGCGCGCAGCACACACACAGAGGGCCGCAACUAGCCCUUGAACCCCUAUUGAACUCGCACAAGAUACUAUUGAACUAAAUUCAAAAACAGCUGUUAAUAGCAUCUUAAAAUAUGGGUUCUAUCCAUACUCCCACCUGAAUCAUUUCUUGCGGCAUGACUCAAAAAUAACAAUAAGCCUGUCGCACCGAUAACUCAUUAGUGCAAUUUUUUUAACUCAAAAAAUUGAUACGCGUUCAUUUAGCGAAAAGUCCAAGACGCUUGCCUUUUGAAAAGAAGAGGUAUCCAAUAGAUAUCCAACCUUUAUCUUAUUUAAUUACUACCACGACAUGAUUGAUGGUGCUUAAAUCGAUUGUUUCUUUUUUAAUUUAAAGAAUUUUUCAUUAAAAAAUAUUUUAAUAUCAAAUUGCCUUCAAUAGCGUAACUGCCGCAGGCCCAGUAACAAGAUUAAUUAAAAUUUUUUGAAUUUUUGGGCAUGGAAAGAGUAGUAUUAGACUUCAGAAAGCUUAAGGUUGUUAUGUUAAAGAAUUGAUAUUGACAUAAUUUUAUUUUGGUUUUCGGGAAACAAAUUAUUUGUUGACAAGCAAGAAAAUAUUUUUGUAUUUUACAAUUUAUUAUACAUAUUUUAUCAUAUUAAAGUAAUUUUAAUAAUAAAUAGACACAUAAUAUUACAACAAAUAAAGUAAAGUUUAAAUUAUUUUGAAUAUUAUAAAAAUAAUUUUAAUAUUAUUAAUAGGAAGACAUUUUGUUAAUUUUAAAAUCUUUUUAACCUAAAGGUUUAUUUAAAAUCUUUAGAAAUCUCCAUCCCACAUCUACCCUAUUAAACAAGUUGAUGGAAAUUGAACAAUUGCUUUUUGAAGUGGACCCAUUGAGUUAUGUUCAUUACUGGUCAUUGUCUAUUCUUUCUAAGAGCCACUUGUUUUGAGCAUUAGCAAUCCUAUCUGGACUACUCCAAUUAUUGAUGUAACUCCAAUGGUUGCAUCAACAGUUGAAUGUAAGAUAGUGUUAGUUCUUUUUUGAGAAUAUAGAGGGAUCUUUAUUUGUUUCUCCGUUGUAGCGUAUUAGUAUAAAUUUCUUUACCUUACAGUUCCUACAGUCUUCCUGUUAAUGAAUUCGCUGAGGCAUUAUUGAUCCAAUCUCAGUGAAGUAAUUGUGGGUGAAAAAAAAAAAUAAAGGAUAAGAGAACGUAGCUGAAGUGCUGAAUUGACUAUUAAAGAAGAGCGUCACCUGAUCACAAUCACAUUGAUGCACAACUCACUCAGAUCAUUACAACGUCCUUUUCGCUAAUUAAUUAUGAUUAUAUACAUUUUCAUAUGGCAAGUGGCAUUGUAGAUCUAAACUACGUUGCUAUUUCAUUACGUUAAUUAAGUGAUUCUCCUCAUUGUCAUCAGCGCUUUUUGGGCAUGGAAAGAGUAGUAUUAAACAUUAGAAAGCAAAGGUUGUUCUGUCAAAGAAUUGAUAUUGGCAUAAUUUUAUUUUUGCUUUCGAGUAAAAAAAAAAAAAUUGUUGACAAGCAAGAUACUGUUUUUAUAUUUUACAGUCAGUUAUACAUAUUUUAUCAUAUUAAAGUAAUUUUAAUAAUAAAUGGAAACAUAACAUUACAAUAAAUCAAUUAAAGUUUAAAUUAUUUUGAAUAUUAUAAAAAAUAAUUUUAAUAUUAUUAAUAGGAAGAUAUUUUGUUUAUUGUAAAAUCUUUUUAACCCAAAGGUUUAUUUAAAAUCGUUAUAAUAAAUAAAAAUAUAAAAACAAAAUAAAUAUCAUAAUUUAAAAUUUUAAUAUUAUUUUAAAUAUUAAAAAUACUUUAAUGCUAUUAGUCUACUACCCAGGUUAUAUUACGUAUAUUAUAUUUGUAUAAAUUAAAACUUUUAAAGUUAAAUUUUUAAUUACUAUAUUGAAAAGUUAUUAUGGUUAAAAAAAGUUUUGGCAUUUCUUUUUGAAAAUUUGAGGGUCUGCAUGACAAUUUGUCCAAAUCCUAGAGGUAUAGGUGUCUUUUUUUUUUUUCGAUAAUCAUUUUACUUUUGAGGGAAUCCGAUGAGAAAUAAGAUAAGAGAAACGUCAAUUUAAGGUUCUCUAGGGAAAACCAAGAACUAUUCAAUUUUGUAUUUUUUGUUUGUAAAACGAAAAACAGUUUGCCAAAAAAGGUACCAAACAUAUCCUUAAUGUCUCACAUGAUUUCUUAUUAAGUCCAUACUCGAUAUAUUUAUACAUUUUAGGUAUUUUAGUUAUAAAAGAAGUUGGUCCUCCCUUUGUUUAUAAAAGGUAACUUUAUUUCGAGAUUACCACUAAAGUCUUGCAAAGAAUUAGUGUAAUGUUAAGAGAGAAUAACACAGUUUUCCAUUACCAUUUUGAAAAUAGAAAGAUGUGGAUGUGUGCAUUUAAUAUUGCGUUUACUUGCUGGAUUGAGGAAUCGGAAUCUAGAAUCGGAAUGAUUGAUGGUGUUUACUUUGCAAAUAUGGAGCAGGAAUCGGAAUUGGAAUGGUGGGGGCCACCACUAUUUGGGAAUGGGAGAUUGAUUCUCAUGGGGGAAGGUGGGAAUGAGUCUCCCAUUCCCUGGAUUGACCAUUUUGCCCUCCCUCAAAAUUAAAAAUGCCUACUUUGUCCUCUUUUAUAAUUAAUUAAUAUAAUAUUAUAAUUACUUAAUUAAUAUAUAAAUAUUUUAUUAACUAUAAUUAUUAAAAAUUAUAGUUCUUGAAUAAAUAAUCACAAUAAUUAAUUUAUUAUUAUUAUUGUUAUUUUAAUUAAUUAAUUAAUAUACUAUUAUAAUAAUUAUUAAUAUAAUUAAUUUAUAUAUUAUUAUUAUUAUUAAUGAAUUAAUAUAAUUAUUACUAUUAAUUAAUAUAUUAAUAUAUUAUUAACAAUAAUAUAUUAAUAAUUAUUGUUCGUGAAUAAAUAAUCACAAUAAUUAAUAUAUUAUUAUUGUAAUUAAUUAAUUAAUAUACUAUUAUAAUAAUUAUUAAUAUAAUUAUUAUAAUUAAUUCAUAUAUUAUUAUUAAUUAAAUUAAUAUUAUUAAAUAAAUAAAUAAUAUAAUUAUUACUACUAAUUAAUAUAUUAAUAUAUUAUUAAAAAAUAUUAAUAAUUAUAAUUUUUGAAUAAAUAAUCACAAUAAUUAAUAUAUUAUUUUAAUUAAGUAAUUAAUAUUAAUAUUAAUAUUAUUAGUUAAUAUAUUUUUAUAAUAAUUUUUAAUAUAGUUAUUAUAAUUAAUUAAUUUUUUUUACAAUUAAUUAAUAUAUUAGUUAAUAAUAAUUAUGACAAUAAUCCAUUAAGUACUUUUUAGUAAUUUGUUACAAUCUAAUUCAUUCCGAUUCCGAUUUCAAGACAAAGUAAACACAUUAAUGGCAAUUUAGCUCAUUCUGAUUUUGAUUCCUACAGUUCAAGUAAACAACUUAUUUUGAUUCCUAUUACAUAUUCCCAUUCCAACCCAUUCUCAUUUCUGUCCAUUCUCAUUUCUGCCCAUUCCGAUUUUAGCUCAUUCCGAUUUCAGUUUAGUAAACGCAGUAUAAGAGUUAUCAUGAAAAUCAUACAAUUCAAUUUCCUGAAAUAUAUAUUUUAUUCACAUGUGCCAAAAGAAUAAAUAGAUAGAAAGUAAAUUUACAAUCCUCACUCCCUCACAAUUGUUAAAGUGAAUAUGCAUUACAACUGUGAACUGUCACUACUUUAGCCCUUUUUUUUUUUUCAAUUAUAGUGUGAUGGAGACAGUGAACAUUAAGGAUAAAGUGCUCUGCUGAAAGCCAAACUUCCUUUGGCUAAUUAAUUUAGAAGUAAAGCAGAGAAUAAAGUCCUAGAUGCCUUCUGAAAUUAGAAAUACAUUUUAUAUGCUUUAAUUAUGAUUAUUUGGCAGACUAAAGACCUAAAAGAUAUGUCAAAAGUAUGAAACAGAGAGAUUAAAGAAAAAAGAAAAAAAAAAAAAAACAGAGUAUUUGUGACGUAGAAUAACAAUUGGUAAAUAAAUCCUAAAUAUUUGAGUUGUUAAAAGCAAAUAUAACAGAGACGGUAAGAGAGAUGCAGAAACAGAAAACUAUUAGCUUAUCUUGAUUUUCCCACUAUAUUCAUUUUCGAUGCUUUUCAAUCGAGAUUCUUUUAAUUCUUCUGGUGUCUGCAGCCCCGGCUCUUCUUAUAAAUCUCCAUCCCACAUCUGCACUACGAACAAGUUGACUGAAAUUAAAUAAUGUUGGAGAUGAGGGGUGAGCCGUCAACUUGUUAAAAAAAACUCAUGUAUAAUAUUAUCAAUAAUAUAAAAUAUAUAAUAAUUGUUACAAAGAAUCAUAAAUUAGAAAAAUUAAUUAUUUUACAAUCUAUUUCUUAAGUAAGAUAAAUCUUGUAAUAAGUUAAGUUAUAACGUAAAAAAUAUUUUCAAUUUAUAAUCAUUUAAGAAGUCAUUUAACAAUAAAAUCUUUCUUUUGAUCAUGUGGGCAUGCCAUAGAGUAUCAUCUAUAUUCGUGAUGAUAUUAUUAUUACUCAGUAUCCUAAAAAAAACACGAUUUAACAUUUAGAGAAAAUUCCUGCCUUUUAAAAAGAACAUGUAUGCAAUAGCUAGCCAUACUUUAUUUUACCACAACAAAAUUGAUGGUGAUUAAAUCAAUUUUCUCAAUUAAAGCAAAAUUUUAAAAAUUGAUUUAAUGCACAAAUAUGAUGAGUUUUUGUAAAAAUUAGUUUUGGAAAAUAUAGUGAGAGAAAAUGGUGACGAUUAUUUUCAGAUGUGCAAAUAGCCUAAACAUAAUCUCUAAUACCAAUAUCCAUGUGCAUCUUAAUACCUUUCAUGAUAUUCUUUCAUUCAUGGCCAUUUGUUCAAGAUUUGAAUUUGAUUAUUAAAUCAUGUUCAAUAAUGUUAGAGAUCCCAACAAUUGAAUACCAACUUAAAUCCCAAUGCUAUGUGUCAUUAACAAAUGUUGUGUCAUUUAUAAUUAUUGAAUGAAUAAUUCGUUAAUUUAUUGAUAAAUAAAAAUUUAUUAAUUUAAAGAGAGAUACUUCUUCUUUUUUUGUUUUAAGAAGAGUUUUGUUGGUACAUGUACAUACUUAUAAAGAAAUAAACUUGUAAUUAUACUAUAUCUUUCUUUCUUUGUUCAGUUUGGUGGGAUAUUGUGAUAAAUCAUUGGAUUAAAAUACAUUUCUAAAUUAAAACUUGUUAAAAUCUAAUUUAUUUGGGAAACGCAUAUUAUUUGUCAGUUGUACUUCUCAACUUAGCAAGUUAUUUCUAACUUGUCAGUCUCUAUUGGUUCUCUAAAAGCUAAUAGUCUCGAAUCUCCCGCAUUUGAUAUCUUGCCAUUACUGUUGGCAUUUGUUAAGUAUAGCUGAAGCUGGUGACGUGUAUAAGCUGCUGAUGAAGCUGCUGAGUUGGCUGGCUGGUGAUGUGUAUAAACUGAAGGUGCUGAGCUGGAUUGGGUUGUUGUUCACACCAACUAAAGAUGUAACAGAUUAUCCAGCUGGCUUGUUAUGAUUGGAAGUUAGAUUAGUUUGUUAAUACAGCAAACAAUGAGCUCUGUUUUGGUAGUUAGUUUUGAGUGUAACUAUAAAUACUGGCUAACAUGUUUUCAGUGUUAAGCUUGAGUUUUAAUCAAUAAAAAUCAAUUCAGUUAAAGUUUCUUUGUUAACUUUCUUUCACUUUCUCACUUGCCAAACAACCUAUUAAUUCUAAAAUGGUAUCAGAGCUUGCACCUAUGUCAGGAUCUAAUCAUAUAGCUUCCUCAUCACUUUCAUUCAAUUUUGUUCAACCUAUAAAACUCGAUAGAUCAAACUACUUGGUGUGGAAAGCUCAAGUUAGAACAUCGAUCAUUGCUAAUGGACUUGAGAGCUUCAUCAAUGGUGAGAGUGUAUGUCCAAAAUGUUAUCUCAUUGAUUCUAUUCAAGAACUUCAAAGAUCUGGAGCUGAAACAUCACAGAAGCAGGAAAAUCCAGAGUAUAUCUUAUGGAUGAAAACUGACAAACUUCUGCAGAGCUGGAUGCUUUCGUCAAUGGUGGACAAUGUAUUAAUCAUGGUGAUCAAUUGUGAAACAUCACUUGAACUUUCGGAGAUGCUUGCUAGAAUCUUCAUGUCACAAUCCAAAGCGAGAUAUCUGCCUUUGAAGAUGCAGAUUCAAUCAACAAAUAAAGGAUCUCUCUCCAUCAGUGAUUACUUCAAAAGGAUGAAGAAAAUUGCUGAUAGCUUGGCCAUUGGAGGUAAUCCAAUUACUUCGAAUGAACUGAUUAUUCACUUGCUUACUAGAUUGGAUGAAAACUAUGAAUCCAUAGUCACAAAUAUACUUACUAGACUGGAAAAAGAGAGACUUACUGCUGAAGAGGUGUACUCUAUGUUACUUAGUCAUGAAACUAGGUUGGAAAUGAGCAAAGGAAAAUCACAUAAUGAACCUCUGCAUGAUAUGACAUCAAAUUUUGCUCAGAAAGGCCAAGGUUAUAAUACUGGUCCUGGAAGAGAUGUUGUGUGUCAAAUCUGUUACAUUCCAGGCCAUGGAGCUUAUAAGUGUAAACAUAGAUUCAAUCAAGGGUUUAUUCCUAGAAACAAAGGCUUUGGUGGUUUCAGGCCAAGAGGUGGAGGUCAGAAUUAUAGAGGAUUCCCUAGAAAUAAUCAGAAUUAUUUUGGUAGAGGUUCUGGAUACAAUAGUUCUGCUUUUGGAUCUGGAUUCAGACCUAACUUUCCCAGGCAAGCCGGACCUACUGGACCUUUCUUUGGCUAUGUUGCCUAUCAGAAUCCAGGAUUCAUGAAUCCUCAAGGUGCCUUUGACUUUCCAAGUGCAAAUGGUGAUUAUACUGGUGUUCCAACAGCAAACAUGUAUGUUGGAAAUUAUGGCAUUCCUCAUAAUGUCUCUCCCUCUGCACAAUUGGCAAACUUCAGCAAUGUAGCUGAUUCAGCCUGGUACCUUGACUCUAGAGCAACAAAUCACAUUGCUCAAGAUGCAGGUAUACUUUCUAAGUGCUCAACUUACCAUGGCCUUGAAAAACUACAUGUAGGAAAUGGUAUGGGGCUGCCUGUUCAUAAUGUUGGUUUUGUUGCUGUUAAAACCUUGACUACAACACCUAUAUACCUAAAUCAUGUUCUGCAUGUCCCUAAAAUUACUAAAAACCUUAUCAGUGUUUCCAAAUUGCUUGCUGAUAACAAUGUUUUUAUUGAGUUUUACAACCAUGUUUGUUUUGUUAAGGACAAGAAUUCAAGAAUCACAUUGCUCAAGGGGAUUGUUAGAGGAGGUCUUUAUCAAGUUUCAAGCUUAAAUACAGUCUGUGAUAACUCCAGUUCAGUGUUCCCAGUGUCAACCACUUCUGAGUUUGUUUUUACUUCAAUAAGUACAUUCCCAGCAACUCCAGUGUCUAUGUUUACUCAACUAAGUUCAUUUGAUACUAAGUUUCACUCUUGUAUGCUUGUAAAUAAUUCUCAAAUCAAUAAGAAUGUCCCUGUGGCUCACUUUGCUUCAUAUAACAAGCCUAUUGAUUAUAGUUUACUGCACAAAAGAAUGGGUCAUCCAACUACUCAUGCUUUAAAACAGAUCAUGAAAUGCCUGAACUCAAAUUUUAUUCUUCCCAAAGAUUUCACAACACAGUUCUGUGAUGCCUGUCAACUAGGCAAGUGCCAUACGCAGCAUUUUCCCUCCAUAGAAACUUCAACCACUCAGCCCCUUGAAUUACUACAUGCUGACCUUUGGGGACCAGCUCCCAUUACCUCUUCACAAGGUUACACCUACUAUCUAUCUAUCUUAGAUGACUACACUCGAUACACUUGGAUUUUUCCUCUCAUUGCCAAAUCCAAAACCUUGUCAGCCUUUAUUGAAUUCAAAAACAUGAUUGAAAACUGCCUGAACUUGAAAAUUAAAUGUUUACAAACUGAUUGGGGUGGAGAAUUCAGGCCUUUUGUGUCAUAUCUUUCUAACCAGGGUAUACAAUUUUGACAUCCCUGCCCUUAUAUCCAUCAUCAACAUAUUACCUGAGAUUGGGAUUCAUUAAAAUCCUCAAUGUAAUCGGUGGAACGAAUGGAUUUCUUCUGUUCACCAAUCCACCAAAAUUUCUGUAAUUAAAUUCAAGAGUCAAGAUCUAUGCUUAUAAUCUAUUCAACAGCUAAUAUUCUAUUUUAUAUUUACUUAAAUAUGAAGAGCUAUGCUUGUCAUUAACUUCAAAUGUGAUCGAAGCAGCCUUACAUCUGUAUAUUACGUAUUCCCAACUUUUUUUUGACUUCAUUUACUUUCUUUUCAUGUUAUUUACUCUUUUUUCCCCCUCUCUGACAAUUGAGGUAGGGGGUCAAACUUGAAAGUAUCUUAAAAUCAAACAAUUUUUUUUUUAAGAUAGCUGCUAAUAUGCUCUAUUAGACAAUGAUAAGUAAUAACCUAGUUGUUUGCAUUAGAAAUGAUAUUUUUUGUGGUGCUGAUAAAGAGGUUGAUUAUGAUUCAACAAUUUAAAAUAUGAAAACAUGUGGAAGACGGCCGCAAUUAAAUUGAUUGUAUGAAAAUAUUUCAAUGAAAUUUUAAAAAUUUAGUACUUGUUAUCUUAUCGAGAGUUUUUUAAAUUUUUCUACUUGAACUUGACUGCUUUUGUAUUGAAUUCCUAGCGUUGCCAUUGCUUCUACUCAAAAGCCAUUUAGUUACUCAUGAAUUGUUGUUCAUAAUAGCAAUUUGAUUGAAAGUGCGGCUGCACUAAUUUUCUAGAUGAAUUUUUUCCUACAUGCUUGUUCUCGUAUGACCCAAAAUCCUGCUACAUCAGUUGUAUUAGAAAUUAAUCAACUGGGUUACAAUUAUGCAUCCCCACCAAUAUUUAAGCAAUUUAAUUACAGAAACAUUUCUUGAGGAAAGAAACUCAUAUCGCCACUAGGCUUUUAAUGAGGCUCAUUUUUAUGAAUCUGGAUGGCAUUAGAUAUCUCUCCGAAUAUUGGUGGGAGUAGAUAUGCUACAAAGUGUAUGUACGUUGACUCUCAAUAAAUACAAACGAUUCUCUGAUCUGAUUCAAAACAUCAGUACAUGCAUCAUUUUAAUGAGAAAGAAUAUUCUAAGAACGAAAUUGAAGGUGCAAUCAGCAGCUAAAAUGAAGCCAGAAAUGUACACGCAUGAGGAAGUUUUCCAAGAAGAUUGAUAUUUCUUUGACUAGCAAACCAUACAAGUCCAAAGCUAGCUAAACCAUACCUGCAAGUCGGGGGUUUAAAUGGAGUACUUCUAAGCAUAAAACAUUGAUUAAAACAGAAUACACACAUACAUACCAGCAAAUUCAAUAUAGCAAAAGGAGUGCAAAAGUUCAAGUUUGUAGACAACAUUGCAACCAUGGCAUGUUUAUAGCAAAUCCUCGAAAUCUGCUAAAUAAAACAAUGCCCUGUCUCAUGAAUCAAUGCUGAAUUAAAAUUGAAACUGAAAGUCUGGCUGGCGGUGUUUCCCUCUCCAAUUUUGCCUACAUAAGUGAAAAUAAGAAUAAUAAAUGGAAAUCUGCUUUUACAGUUCUUAUUAGAUAGAUAUAAAGGGAUCUUUCUUUGUUUCUCUGCUGUAAUUUGUGGCUAUGCCACUCUGUUUUUCCAGUCAAGCUGAGUCUACGUUGAGACAUAAUUUUGACAUCAGAAGCAACCUCAAUUAGUUUGGCAUUUUCAUGACCUCCUUGAAGGUUUUAUGAUAAACAUAAAUCCACUGAGAAAGUGGGAAAAAAAGAAAAUGCAUAUAAAAGUAUGAGUUAUCAGAUAAGAUUAAAACUCACCCAAUUCAAUCCAUCAGAUUCCGUAAGGAUAUAACUGGAUGUCAUACCGCCACUCCAUAUCCUCGAAAGUCCGUAGUCCUUGUCUCAACUGUGUCUGGGGCCAGUGUAAGUCCAAUUUGCGCAAGCUCUUUAUGCACCACAGCUCUUCUGGAAGCUUUCUCAAGUAAGCACAUGGGUUGACAAUUAAGCUUUCAAGUUUCGGCAUUGCUCCAGCCGCCAUCGUCCACUCAUCUAGCCAAUACAUUGAUUUCAGGUGCAAAACCUUAAGUUCGGGAAAGCUACUCAAGCCAACACAAGCAAGCUUUCUUCCUAAAUACGAGUUCUGCUUCAGUUUCAGCACUCGAAGGCGUGGAAGAUUUUCCAGAAUUGGCAUGGGAUCCUCCAUUAGCUCAGUAUUUGAUAAGCUCAGUUGGAUCAGACUUGGGGGAAAUUGGUAUUCAGACAGGACCAUCCGUGAGGGCUUGCUCUCAUUCACCAGCUUCAAGCAUUCAAGUUUGUGGAGUUCGCAAAGGCUUUUGGAAACCCCAGAUUGAUAGUAACUCAAAUCUCCAGAUAUCCGAAGAGUCCGAACACUAGGUAGUCUGCCCAAUAUAUCAGGAGUACAACUACUAGGGUUUAAAGCUGAUAUGAAAAUGAGAUUUUUCAGAGAGCUAGAAUAAUUUUUUGGAGGUGCGGGCAGAGUGAUGCAACCGAAGUUUAGAUGCAUGAGUUUUUGCAUCAUCCAAAUAUCCUCUGGUGACUGAUCUAUGUAGCUAGAUGGCAUUUCUAGUGUUUCAAGGUUUAAAAGGGUGCAUAGCAGUGAAGGAAGGCAUUUGAGCGAAGGGAUAUUCAAUUUCAAAUACUUCAAAAGAUAUAAAUUUUCUAAUCCGGGUGGAUAUUGGUCCAGGACUGCAGAACCCAUGUUCAAUACCCGAAGGUAUUUGAACCUUUUAAAAAAAUUCUCGCAAUCUUUCGGAUUAAGAUGAUUGCUUUUUGAACUGUGAUUCAGAAAAGAUUGGAGACACAUGUCAGAAUGUUCUAAAGAAAAGAACUCAAUCAGAUCAUCGUCAAUGACGCACCGUUUAACAUUUGCCACUGAUUCCUCUUCCACGUCAUGCAUCCAGACAAAUCCCGUCUUCAUUGCCACAAUAUACAAUGAAGUGUAUACAAAACUUGGAACAUAACACGCUUUAAUUGUGCCUCUGGCUCUUCUCUUACUCACUUGAAUGAAGCCGCGAUGGAUUAGUUCUUUCAAGUAAUGUUCGGCAGUUUCUUCACCGUUGUAUGGUAUGAAACCUUCAGCUACCCACAACUGAUAUAAUUGCUCCGUAGAUAUCUCAAUACUUGGAGGGAAGACAUACAAAUAGAUGCAGCAGACUUUCAAGUGAAAAGGCAACUCCAUCACAGAAAAAAUUUGUCUCCAAACUGUCAGAACCACUUCGCCUUGAAGAUAAUUUUCUAAUGGCAUACUUCCAUAGUGUAGGAUGAAAAAUUGCCAGGCCUCAUGCUUUAAUCUGAUCAAUGGUCCUCCAAAGAGCACUGAAUCACGCCGAAUCUUCUCUUCAUUUUCCAUUUCCAACGACGCAAUGAGGCCCGGAUCAGUGACUGUUAUCAAUACUCUGCUUCCAUUCUCAUCACCAGGAAGAAGUUCUUCGAGAUCACUCCAUAUCUCACUGUUAUCGAAGACAUCAUCAAGCAAAAUAAAGUACUUCUUGUUUGUUAGGUAAUCUCGAAGAAUAGAUUUCUUCAAUUGAUAAUCUUCACCGAUAAUUACACUAACCCGAGAUGGAGGCAUCACAGACUUGAUUAUGUCAUCCAACAUCUUGCCAAAAUCAUAGAAUAUAGAAACCCUGACCCAAGCAAGACAGUCAAAAUAGAACUUGACAUGGUUAUUAUUGUAAGUAUCUUCUGCAAAAGCAGUCUUAUCGAAGCCACUGCUGUCGAGAAUUGUAACCACUGCAAGCCGAGGGCGUCCUUCAAUCAAUAAAUCAAACAACUCCUCCCUGCCCCUUUCAAAUUCAUUGAUAUCAAGCCGAGGUUGUCCCUCACUCAAUAGGUGAAUGAUUUCGUUACUUUUUUUACUGAUAUCAAAACCAUUGUCGCCGGGUGGAAGUUGUUGCAUCCGAUUACUAAUAUCAAUGAUUUUACUGUGGAGACCAGCAAGAAGAGCCAUAUUAGUACUGCUUUCACUUUCGUUUUCACUGUUUUGCUGCUGCAUAAUGUUGAUGAAGAAUGUGUCAAUGGCUUCCUCAGAUUCAUGGACAAAGUCAUUGAUGUCCUUCACAAUGCCCAAAAGGUCCGCUCUUUCAACUUCUUCUUCAUCGCUUUCUUCUAAGUCCAACAGUUGCAAAAAAGGCAAAGAUAUUUUGGAGUCAUCGAAUUCUUCUCUAAUGAGUUGAAAGAAAUGCCGAGCCAUGUCAGCUUCAUAUUUUCCCAGCAGGGUAGUAGCAAUAAUUUCGGACUCCGUAAGAAGGUUUUGAAAAAGUGGGGUUAAAUUUGUUGAAUCAGGCAGCGUUAACGGGCCUUCUUCACCUGCUAACACCCUUUUCAACCUCUCACAAAACAGUCGGAGGUGGAAUUCCAGCAUAUCUCCUUCUCUCCGUAGCACUCAGAGGUAUAGCUGAAAGAUUAAACACCAUGGAAGAAUUUGAAAGGAAAAUGCCAAGACAUUAUUGCUCAUUUUUUAACUCAAAAGAUUGAUACGCGUUCAUUUAGAGAAAAGUCCAAGACGCGUGCCUUUUGAAAAGAACAGGUAUCCCAAUCGGUAUCCGACCGAUAUCUUAUUAAAUUACAACCAUGACAUAAUUGAUGGUGCUUAAAUCAAUUGUUUCUUUUUUAAUUUAAAGAAUUUUUCAUUAAAAAAAUAUUUUAAUAUCAAAUUGCUUUCAGUGGCGUAACUGCCUCAAGCCCAGUAACAGGACUAAUUAAAAAUUUUACAAUUUUUGGGCAUGGAAAUAGUAGUAUUAAACAUUAGAAAGGUAAGGUCGUUCUGUUAAAGAAUUGAUAUUGACAUAAUUUUUUUUGGUUUUCGGGGGAAAAAAAAUUGUUGACAAGCAAGAAAAUAUUUUUAUAUUUUAUAAUUUAUUAUACAUAUUUUAUCUUAUUAAAGUAAUUUUAAUAAUAAAUAGAAACAUAAUAUUACGAUAAAUAAAUUAAAGUUGAACUUAUUUUGAAUAUUAUAAAAAAUAAUUUUAAUAUUAUUAAUAGGAAGACAUUGUAUUAAUUUUAAACUUUUUUAACCCAAAGGUUUAUUUAAAAUCUUUAUUAGAAAUACAAAUAUAAAAUUAAAUAUCAUAAUUUAAAAUUUUUAAUAUUAUUUUAAGUAUUAAAAAUAUUUUAAUGUUAUUAGUCUACUACAUAGAUCAUAUUACUUAUAUAAUAUUUGUAUUAUUAAAAAUUGUUAAAAUCAAAUUUUUAGUUAGUAUAUUCAUGAGCUAUUAUGGUUAAAAAAAAAAAGACCUUAUUAUUACUUUUUUAAAAAUUGAGGGCCUGCGUGAUAAUUUUUUCAAAAAGAAAAUGCUUGGUAUGUAGGAGGGGUACAGAAACAGGACUCCCAAAAUCUCUCACCCUUUUUUAAUUAAAAAAAAAAAUUAAAAUAUCAAUAAAAAGUAAUAAAGAAAAUAGAAUUUUAUCUGCUCCUUACUCCAUUUUUGCAACUCUCUCACCAUCCCUAUCGAGCAGCCCUCUCUCUCACUGUCUCACUCACACAGUCCUUUUCACGAUUUGAAAUUCUUUGGCCCUCUGCAUUACAAGAAAUUAACGCUUUGGUUCUCCCAAGGGUAGAUUGGUUUUAUUGGGAAGCUAUUAAUUUUUUUUUUUUUUGAAUACUGAUUAAUCAUCAGAUUACUGCAUUACACAGAUAUUUACAACAACUGCUAUUGUAGCAGAGAUAUUAUACUGAUAUUUACAAUCAGAUAUACAUAAUUGGGACUUAUAUUAUGACAUUGAAUUCUAUGAAGUACAUGCCCAAACAAAUAACCCCUCACAGGAGAGGGAUGUCCAUACUCCACUCGCAUUUCGCAAGGGAGAAUGAUUUUUUGGAAGUAUAAAGAACAUUUAGCCCCCACAAUACUUUUGUGGGGGCUAGAACCGCUGCAGCAUUGUGAGGGCAGCAGCCCACCACUUCGGCCUUGGCCGAAGUGGCGGGAAGCUAUUAAUUAGAAGGAGGAAAAAGGACUAUAUUUAGAAUAUGAUUUGUUGGAGAAUCUCAGAGUUAGUCAAUUUUCAAGCCACACUUUCAAUAGCCAAUUGAUUUAGUAACCAUUAAUUACUUUAAUUUCCAUAAAUUGUAAUGACAGUGCAAAUGCAUCUGGUUGUGAUAGCUAAGGGUUAGCUUGAAGAAUUAAAUUUCAUAAGAUAUUACUGGAAAAUGCUUUGCAGAUAACGUGCUGCUUCCUUUGCUAGACUACAAUUUCAAAAAUCUCACGAGUUUUCCAUUGUUGUCACAAACCGAGAAAUUAUAAAAUACAUGGCCUGGUUCUUUGGCAAUGACCAUCUCAUCGUCGGCGGUCGUGUCGUCAUUGUCACUGUUCUUGCUCGACCGAGACAGUGAGAGAGAGGUUUGUUAGAUGGAGUUAGUGAGAGAGAGUUGUAAAGAUGGAAUGAUGAUAAAAGGAUUCUAUUUGUUUUUAUUGUUUUUUAUUAAUAUUUUAAUUUUUUAAAUUAAAAUGUGCUGCCGUUUCUCUAGCCUUUUUAGCUGCUUAACUUAACAGUAUUCUUUUCAAAAUUUAAGAAUGUAGUAGGUGUCCUUUUCUCUAAUAAUUUAUUUCAUUUUUAGGGAAUCCAAUGAGAAAUAUGAUAAAAGAACGUCAAUUACUUGUCGUUUUCAAUUUUUUCUAUAAGCUAUUUAUUUUGAGCAUUAGUGAUCUUGUCUGGACUACCCCAAUUAUUGACGUAACUCCAGUGGCUGCAUCCACUGGAAAAAGUGGAUGAGACCAUUUUUUUUUUCAUAAAGGUAACUACUCCAAUUAUUGACAUAAUUGAUGGUGCUUAAAUCAAUUUUUUCUUUCUUUUUUUUAAUUUAAAGAAUUUUGCUUUAAAAAAUAAUUAAUAUCAAAAUGCCUUCAAUGUUGUUACCGCCACAAGCCCAGUUAGAGGACUCAUUAAAAAUUUUAGAAUUUUUAGGCCUGGAAAGCAUAGUAUUAAACAUCAGAAAGCAAAGGUUGUUAUGUCGAAGAAUUGAUGUCGACAAAAUUUUAAUUUUGUUUUCGGAAAAAAAAAAAAAUUUUGUUGACAAGCAAGAAAAUAUUUUUUAUACUUUACAAUCUGCUAUACAUAUUUUAUCAUAUUAAAGUAAUUUUAAUAAUAUAUGGAAACAUAAUAUUAUAAUAAAUAAAUUAAAAUUACUUUGUAUUAUUGAAUAUUACAAAAAGAUAAUUUUAAUAUUAUUAAUAGGAAAACAUUUUUUAAUUGUAAAAUCUUUUUAAUACAAAAAUUCGUUUAAAAUCUUUAUAAUAAAUACAAAUAUAAAAUUAAAAAAUAUCAUAAUUUAAAAUUUUUAAUAUUAUUUAAAUAUUAAAAAUACUUUAAUGUUAUUAGUCUACUACAUAAAAUAUAUUAUUUAUAUUAUAUUCGUAUUGAUUAAAACGUUUUAAAGUCAAAUUUUUAAUUAGUGUAUUCAAAGGUACAAAAGAUUUAAGUAUUAUUUUUUAAAAAUUUCAAGAUACGAAUGAUAAUUUUUUCAAAUUUUAAAGAUGUAAAAAUCUUUUUUUCUGAUAAUUUAUUUCACUUUUGAGAGAAUCCGAAAACGUUAAUUUAACAUUCUUUACCUUUGUAAAAAAAGUGAAAAUCAAGAACUAUUCAAUUUUGUUUUUAUUUGUAAUUCAAAAACUUUAUUCAUUUUCGAUGCUUUUCAAAAGAGAUUCCUUUAAAUGUCUGCAGCUCCUGCUUUUCUCAUAAAUCUCCAUCCCACAUCUACACUAUCAAGUAUCAAACAAGUUGAUGGAAAUUCUUAUAAAAAAAAAAAAAAAAUUGAUGGAAAUUGAUCAAUUGCUUUUUGAAGUGGACCCAUUGAGUCAUGUUCAUUUCUGGUCAUUGUCUACUCUUUCUAUCAGCCAUUUAUUUUGACCAUUUGCGAUCUUAUCUGGACCUACUCCAAUUAUUGUUGUAACUCCGAUGGUUGUAUCUACAGUGGAAUGUAAGAUAGUGAAAGCUCUUUCUUUGAGAAAAUAGAGGGACCUUUCUCUGUUUCUCCGUUGCAACGUGCUCGUAUAAAUUUCUCUACCUUACAGUUUAUACGGUCUUGCUGUUAAUGAAUUCGCUGAGGCAUUAUUGAUCCAAUCUGAGUGAAGUAAUUGUGGGUGAAAAAUAAAUAAAGGAUAUGAGAACGUAGCUGAAGUGCUGAAGGGGCUAUUAAAGAAGAGUGUCACUUGAUCACAAUCACAUUGAUGCACAACUCACUCGUGGCAAAUUUCGACUAUACGUUCUGCAAAUUCAGCCAAACCAUACAUGCAUGAACAAAACUAAAAUGUAGUUCUAAUCACAACUGCAGUUAUGAUGUUUACCUCUCUGAUUUUUCUCCAAAACAAAUUCAGUUCAAAACAAUAAUCAAAAUAGCCACAUUUUGUUCGUCAAAAUAAAUGCCCAAAUUUUCAAUUAACAAAUCAUCUUCUCUAAACUAAAAAGCCCACAUCUCUAAAAUCAAUCUACAUAAUGUUGGAGAUGAGGGUUGAAUUGUUAACUCAGUAAAAAAAAAAAAACUCAUGCAUAAGAUUACUAAUAAUAUAAAUUAUAUAUUAAUCAUUAUAAAGAAUCAUAAAUUAGAAAAAUUAAUCAUUUUAUAAUUUAUUACACAAGUAAGAUAAAUCUCAUAAUAAGUUAUAACAUAAAAAACGUUAUCAAUAUAUAAUCAUUUAAGAAGUCAUUUAACAAUAAAAUCGUUCUUUGAUCAGUUGGCCAUGUCACAUAGUAUCAUCUAUAUUUAUGGUGAUACUAUUAUUACUCAGUAUUCUCAAAAAACAUGAUUUAACAUUUAGAGGAAAUUCUUGCCUUAAAAAAAAAACAUGUAUGCAACAGCUACCCAUGCUUUAUCUUACCAUGACAAAUAUUUUCUCAAUGAAAGAAAUUUUUUAAAAAAUUGAUUUAAUGCACAAAUAUGAUGAUUUUUGCAAAAAUUAGUUUUGGAAAACAUAGUGAGAGAAAAUAGUGACGAUUAUUGUUUAAAUGUAUAAAUAGCCUAAACAUAAUCCUUAAUACCAAUAUCCAUAUGCAUCUUAUCAUCUUUCAUGAUAUUCUUUCAUUUAUGUCCAUUGGUUCAAGAUUUGAAUUUGAUCAUUAAAUCAUGUUCAAUAAUAUUAGAGAUUCCAACAAUUGAGUACCAACUUAAAUCCCAAUGUUAUGUGUCAUUGACCAAUUUUGUGUCAUUGACCAAUUUUGUUAUUAACUAGGUGAUGAAUUUCUAGUUGAUAAAAUCACUUAAAAAUAUCUUAAAAAUUAGACAAUAGUUUGCUUAAUUUUUCCAAGUUAACUGCUCAAGAUGCUCUAUUAGAAAUGAUAACCUAAUUAUAUACAUAAAAAAUGAUGGAAAUUGAACAAUUGCUUUUUGAAGUGGACCCAUUGAGUUAUGUUCAUUACUGGUCAUUGUCUAUUCUUUCUAAGAGCCACUUGUUUUGAGCAUUAGCAAUCCUAUCUGGACUACUCCAAUUAGGAUAGUGUUAGUUCUUUUUUGAGAAUUUCUUUAUUUGUUUCUCCGUUGCAGCGUAUUAGUAUAAAUUUCUUUACCUUACAGUUCCUACAGUCUUCCUGUUAAUGAAUUCGCUGAGGCAUUAUUGAUCCAAUCUCGGUGAAGUAAUUGUGGGUGAAAAAAAAAAAAAAGGAUAAGAGAACGUAGCUCAAGUGCUGAAUUGACUAUUAAAGAAGAGCGUCACCUGAUCACAAUCACAUUGAUGCACAACUCACUCGAGGCAAAUUUCAUCUAUAAAUAAAAGAUCCCUUACUAUUCUCUUAACCCUGAGUUUUGAGAUAGAAAUUUCCCGAACUCCAACCCCACAUCCACAGACAAGUUGAUUGAAACAAUUGCUCUUGUAAUUAAGAGGAUGGGUUAGGGUUCAGUUCUUAUCAUUGUCUGUUAUUUCUUUGAAUCAUUAUCUUAAUUAAUUACAUCAAUUGUUUCUUUUUUUUAAUUUAAAGAAUUUUUCUUUAAAAAAAUAUAUUUUAAUAUCAAAAUGCCUUAAAUGGUAUUACUGCCGCAAUCCCAGUAACAGGAUUAAUUAAAAAUUUUAGAAUUUUUGGGCAUGGAAAGAGUAGUAUUAAAUAUCAGAAAGCUAAGGUUGUUCUGUCAAAGAAUUCAUAUUGGCAUAAUUUUAUUUUUGCUUUCGAGUAAAAAAAUAUAUAUAUAUAUAUUUGUUGACAAGCAAAAUACUGUUUUUAUAUUUUACAAUCAGUUAUACAUAUUUUAUCAUAUUAAAGUAAUUUUAAUAAUAAAUGGAAACAUAACAUUACAAUAAAUCAAUUAAAGUUUAAAUUAUUUGGAAAAUUAUAAAAAAUAAUUUUAAUAUUAUUUAUAGGAAGAUAUUUUGUUUAUUGUAAAAUCUUUUUAACCCAAAGGUUUAUUUAAAAUUGUUAUAAUAAAUAAAAUAUAAAAACAAAAUAAAUAUCAUAAUUUAAAAUUUUAAUAUUAUUUUAAAUAUUAAAAAUACUUUAAUGCUAUUAGUCUACUACAAAGGUUAUAUUACUUAUAUUAUAUUUGUAUAAAUUAAAACUUUUAAAGUUAAAUUUUUAAUUACUAUAUUGAAAAGGUAUUAUGGUUAAAAUAUGUUUUGGCAUUUCUUUUUAAAAAUUUGAGGGUCUGCAUGACAAUUUGUCCAAAUCCUAGAGGUAUAGGUGUCUUUUUUUUUCGAUAAUUCAUUUUACUUUUGAGGGAAUCCGAUGAGAAAUAAGAUAAGAGAAACGUCAAUUUAACGUUCUCUAUGGAAAACCAAGAACUAUUCAAUUUUGUAUUUUUUGUUUGUAAAACGAAAAACAGUUUGCCAAAAAAGGUACCAAACAUAUCCUUAAUGUCUCACAUGAUUUCUUAUUAAGUCCAUACUCGAUAUAUUUAUACAUUUUAGGUAUUUUAGUUAUAAAAGAAGUUGGUCCUCCCUCUAUUUAUAAAAGGUAACUUUAUUUCGAGAUUACCACUAAAGUCUUACAAAGAAUUAGUGUAAUGUUAACAGAGAGUAACAUAGUUUUCCAUUACCAUUUUGAAAAUAGAAAGAUAUGGAUGUGUGCAUUUAAUGGUGUGUUUACUUACCGGAUUGAGGAAUCAGAAUCUGGAAUUAGAAUGAUUGAUGGUGUUUACUUCGCAAAUAUGGAGCAGGAAUCGGAACUGGAAUGGUGGGGCCCACCACUAUUUGGGAAUGAGAGAUUGAUUCCCAUGGGGGAAGGUGGGAACGAGUCUCCCAUUCCCUGGACUGACCAUUUUGCCCUCCCUCAAAAUUAAAAAUGCCUACUUUGUCCUCUUUUAUAAUUAAUUAAUAUAUAAAUAUUUUAAUAACUAUAAUUAUUAAAAAUUAUAGUUCUUGAAUAAAUAAUCACAAUAAUUAAUUUAUUAUUUUUAUUUUUAUUUUAAUUAAUUAAUAUACUAUUAUAAUAAUUAUAAAUAUAAUUAAUUUAUAUAUUAUUAUUAUUAUUAAUGAAUUAAUAUAAUUAUUACUAUUAAUUAAUAUAUUAAUAUAUUAUUAAAAAUAAUAUAUUAAUAAUUAUUGUUCGUGAACAAAUAAUCACAAUAAUUAAUAUACUAUUAUUUUAAUUAAUUAAUAUAAUUAAUUUAUAUAUUAUUAUUAUUAUUAAUGAAUUAAUAUAAUUAUUACUAUUAAUUAAUAUAUUAAUAUAUUAUUAAAAAUAAUAUAUUAAUAAUUAUUGUUCGUGAACAAAUAAUCACAAUAAUUAAUAUACUAUUAUUUUAAUUAAUUAAUAUACUAUUAUAAUAAUUAUUAAUAUAAUUACUAUAAUUAAUUCAUAUAUUAUUAUAAUUAAUUAAUUAAAUUAAUAUUAUUAAAUAAAUAAAUAAUAUAAUUAUUACUACUAAUUAGUAUAUUAAUAUAUUAUUAAAAAUAAUUAUAAUUUUUGAAUAAAUAAUCACAAUAAUUAAUAUAUUAUUUUAAUUAAGUAAUUAAUAUUAAUAUUAUUAGUUAAUAUAUUUUUAUAAUAAUUUUUAAUAUAGUUAUUAUAAUUAAUUAAAUUUUGUUACAAUUAAUUAAUAUAUUAGUUAAUAAUAAUUAUGACAAUAAUCCACUAAGUAUUUUUGAGUAAUUUGUUACAAUCUAAUUCAUUUUGAUUCCGAUUUCAAGACAAAGUAAACACAUUAAUGACAAUCUAGCUCAUUCCGAUUUCGAUUCCUACAGUUCAAGUAAACAACUUAUUUUGAUUUUCAUUACCUAUUUACAUUCCAGCCCAUUCUCAUUUCUUCCCAUUCUCAUUUCUGCCAAUUCCAAUUCCAGCUCAUUCCGAUUCCAGUUUAGUAAACGCAGCAUAAGAGUUAUCAUGAAAAUCAUACAAUUCAAUUUCCUGAAAUAUAUAUUUUAUUCACAUGUGCCAAAAGAAUAAAUAGAUAGAAAGUAAAUUUACAAUCCUCACUCCCUCACAAUUGUUAAAGUGAAUAUGCAUUACAACUGUGAACUGUCACUACUUUAGCCCCUUUUUUUUUUUCAAUUAUAGUGUGAUGGAGACAGUGAACAUCAAGGAUAAAGUGCUCUGCUGAAAGCGGAACUUCCUCUGGCUAAUUAAUUUGGAAGUAAAACAGAGAAUAAAGUCCUACAUGCCUUCUGAAAUUAGAAAUACAUUUUAUAUGCUUUAAUUAUGAUUAUUUGGUAGACUAUUGACCAAAAGACAUGUUAAAGUAUAAAACAGAGCGAUUAAAGAAAAAAAAAGGAGUGUUUGUGACGUAGAAUAACAAUUUGUAAGUAAAGUCCUAAUUUGAGUUGUCAAAAAGCAAAUAUAACAGGGAAGGUAAGAGGGAUGCAGAAACAGAAAACUAUUAGCUUAUCUUGAUUUUCCCACUAUAUUCAUUUUCGAUGCUUUUCAAACGAGAUUCUUUUAAUCCUUCUGGCGUCUGCAGCCCCUGGUCUUCUUAUAAAUUUCCAUCCCACAUCUGCACUAGGAACAAGUUGAUUGAAAUUAAAUAACAUUGGAGAUGACGGACAGAUGAGCCGUCAACUUGGUAAAAAAACUAUGUUAAUAUUGUUAAUAAUAAAAAAAAAUAUAAUAAUCAUUACAAAGAAUCAUAAAUUAGAAAAAUUAAUUAUUUUACAAUCUAUUUCGUAAGUAAGAUAAAUCUUGUAAUAAGUUAAGUUAUAACGUAAAAAAUAUUUUCAAUUUAUAAUCAUUUAAGAACUCAUUUAACAAUAAAAUCUUUCUUUUGAUCAAUUGGUCAUGCCACAGAGUAUCAUCUAUAUUCGUGGUGAUAUUAUUAUUACUCCGUAUUCUCAAAAAACACGAUUUAACAUUUAGAGAAAAUUCCUACCUUUUAAAAAGAACAUGUAUGCAACAGCUACCCAUACUUUAUCUUACCACGACAAAACUAAUGGUGACUAAAUCAAUUUUCUCGAAUAAAGCAAAAUUUCUUAAAAUUAAUUUAAUAUACAAAUAUGAUGACAUUUUGCAAAAAUUAGUUUUGGAAAAUAUAGUGACAAAAAAUAGUAAUGAUUAUUGUUUAGAUGUGUAAAUAGCCUAAACAUGAUCCCUAAUACCAAUAUCCACGUACAUCUUAACACCUUUCGUGAUAUUCUUUCAUUCAUGGUCACUGGUUCAAGAUUUGAAUUUGAUCAUUAAAUCAUGUUCAAUAAUAUUAGAGAUCCCAACAAUUAAGUACCAACUUAAAUCCUAAUGCUAUGUGUCAUUGACAAAUGUUGUGUCAUUUUUUGUUAACUGAGUGAUGAAUUUCUAGUUGAUAAAAUUACUUAAAAAUAUCUUAAAAAUCAGACAAUAGUUUGCUUAAUUUUUUGAAGCUAACUGCUCAAGAUGCUCUAUUAGAAAUGAUAACCUAAUUAUAUACAUAAAAAAUGAUGUAUUUUUUGCGGUGUUGAUAGUGAGAUUAUCAUUCAACAUGUUAAAAUAUGAAAACAUAUGGAAGAAGGUUGUAAAUUGAUUGAAUGAAAAUAUUUCAGUGAAGUCUAAAAAAUUUGGUACUUGUUAUCUUAUCGAAAGUUUUCUAAAUUACAUUCGUGGCACUGCCACUGCUUCCAUGUGAAGGUCAUUAAAAUUUGUGUUAGUUACCUAUAUGUUGAAUAAUAAUUUUAUUCAUGAAUUGUUGCUCAAUAUAGCAGUUUCUAGAUGAAUUUUCCUACAUGUUUGUCCUCAUAUGACCUAGAAUGCUGCUAUAUCAAUUGUAUUGGAAAUUAUUCAAGUGGGUUUGUGCUCUAUACCCCCACCAAAAUUUAAGCAAUCUACAGAACAUUCCUUGUGGAAAGAAACUUAUUUCGCUACUAGGUGGGAGUAGAUUUCUAAGCUAAUGCUCGGCAGAUCUCUAGGCUAUACUAAAAAGUGUAUGCACUUUGACUCUCAAUAUAUACGAGUGAUUCUAUGAUGACUGAAAACAUCAGUACAUGCAUGAUUUUAUAAGAAAGAAUAUUCUAAAAUUAUUUAUGUAUCACCAUUUGUAGUUGUACCCUCUCGAAUGAAGGUGCAAUCAGCAACUAAAAUGAAGCCCGAAAUGUACACGCGUGAGGCAGUUUUUCUAGAAGAUUGAUACUUCUCAAACUAGCAAACCGUACAAGUCCAAAGCUAGAAAAGGAGUGCUUCUAAGCAGAAAACAUUGAUUAAAACAGAAUACACACACACAUACCAGUAAAUUCAAAAUAGAAAAAGGAGUUCAACUGUUCAAGUUUGUGGACAAUAUUGCAACCGUGGCAUAUUUAUAGCAAAUCCUUGAAAUCUGCUAAAUAAACAAUGCCCUGUCUCAUGAAUCAAAGCCGAAUUAAAAUUGAAAUUGAAAGUCCGGCUGGUGUUGUUUCCCUCUCCAGUUUUGCCCACAUAAGUGAAGGGAAAUGAGAAUCAUAAAUUAAAAUCUGCUUUUACAGUUUUUUAUUAGAUAGAUAUAAAGGGAUCUUUUUUGUUUCUCUGCUGCAAUUUGUGGCUAUCCCACUCUGUUUUGCCACUCAAGCUUAGUCUACGUUGAGACAUAAUUUUGACAUCAGAAGCAACCUCAAUUAGUUUGGCAUUUUUAUGACCUCCUUGUACGUUUUACGAUAAACAUAAAUCUACUGAGAAAGUGUGAAAAAAAGAAAAUGCAUAUAAAAGUAUGAGUUAUCAGACAUGAUUAAAACUCACCCAAUUCAAUCCAUUAGAUUCCGUAAGGAUAUAACUGGAUGUCAUACCGCCACUCCAUAUCCUCGAAAGUCCGUAGUCUUUGUCUCAACUCUGUCUGAGGCCAAUGUAAAUCCAAUUUGCGCAAGCUCUUUAUGCACCACAGCUCUUCUGGAAGCUUUCUCAAGUAAGCACAUGGGUUGACAAUUAAGCUUUCAAGUUUUGGCAUUGCUCCAGCCCCCAUCGUCCACUCAUCUAGCCAAUACAUUGAUUUCAGGUGCAAAACCCUAAGUUCCAGAAAGCAACCAGAGCCAACGCAGGCCAGCUUUCUUCCUAAAUACGAGUUCUGUUUCAGUUUCAGCACUUGAAGGCUUGGAAGCUUUUCCAGCAUUGGCAUGGGAUCCUCCAUUAGCUCAGUAUUCGAUAAGCUCAGAUGGCUCAGACUUGGAGGAAAUUGGUAUUCAGACAGGACAAUCCGUGAGCGCUUGCUCUCAUUCACCAGCUUCAAGCAUUCAAGUUUGUGGAGUUCGCAUAGGCUUUUGGAAACCCCAGAGUGAUAGCAACUCAAAUCUCCAGAUAUCCGAAGAGUUUGAACAUUAGGCAGUCUGCCCAAUAUAUCUGGAGUACAACUACUAGGGUGUAAGGCUGAUAUGAAAAUGAGAUUUUUCAGAGAGCUGCAAUAAUUUUUUGGAGGUGCAGGCAGAGUGAUGGAACCGAAGUUUAGAUGCAUGAGUUUUUGCAUCAUCCAAAUAUCCUCUGGUGAAUGAUCUAUGUAGCUUGAUGGCAUUUGUAGUGUUUGAAGGUUUAAAAGGGUGCAUAGCAUUGAAGGAAGGCAUUUGAGCGAAGGGAUAUUCAAUUUCAAAUACUUCAAAAGGAAUAAAUUUUCUAAUCCGGGUGGAAAUUGGUCGAGAACUGCAGAACCGAAGUUCAGUACCCGAAGGUGUUUGAACUUUUUACAAAAAUUCUCGCAAUCUAUAAGAGCGAGAUGAUCGCUUUCUGAACUGUGAUUCAGAAAAGAUUGGAGAUACAUGUCAGAAUAUUCUAAAGAAAGGAACUCAAUCAGAUCUUCCAAAAUGAAGCACCGUUUAACAUUUGCCAGUGAUUCCUCUUCCAUGUCAGGCGUCCAGACAAAUCUCGUCUUCUCUACUACCAAAGCCAAUAACGUAUAUACAAAACUUGGAACAUAACACGCUUUAAUUGUGCCGCCGGCGCUUCUCUUACUCACUUGAAUGAAGCCGCGAUGGAUUAGUUCUUUCAAGUAAUGUUCGGCAGUUUCUUCACCGUUGUAUGGUAUGAAACCUUCAGCUACCCACAACUGAUAUAAUUGCCUCGUUGAUAUCUCAUUGCAUGAAAGGAAGACACACAAAUAGAUGCAGCAGAUUUUCAAGUGAAAAGGUAACUCCAUCACAGAAAAAAGUUGUCUCC
rnacentral:lncRNA from 1 species